UCCAGGAUGGUGAUGGUGCCAAGGAGGACUCUCGAACGCCGAUUGAUUGCAUCGUUGCUGCCGUACCCAUGGAGUGGCGCGGCUCCAACCACUCUGAGAUGGUAUUCCUCUCUCUUUCUUUCCCGACAGAACUAAGAAUCUUGUGUCAUCCUCUUUUCUAAAUAAAGUAUAACCUGUUAGCUACCUGAUGGGCACUGUCUCUGAACUUUUCAACCCCUUCAGUUUUGCCGAUGCACUGUAGACUCUAACAAUGGUGGAAAGGAAUCAGAUUCCAAUGAAACUAGCACUACUGUGUUUUUCCACAGUUGCCUUUUUUGCUAAAUUAACUAGCUUCUUCAUGGUAGAGUAGGUACAAAGAUACUCUCUGAUGAAUUUUAUUGAUAUUGUGUAAAGUAGAAAGCCUGACACUACUACGUUGGUAACUGAGUUAACCAAUCGUAGAACUAGAAACAAGUAGGUGACAGGAAGAUUUGUGGAUUGUGAAACUUUUACUCAAUCUUAUCCCCAGGCCGCACAACAUUUUCUUUAGCAAAGGUGUCUCUGUUGCUGAGAUUCUUACAGAUGGCUGGGAGUCGGCGCAAAGUACAUGGACACAUUGGUGCUAUAUUUUAAAAUUGUGAAACAGCAUCCAAGCUACUUGUGAAGGUGUCAAUUUCUGCAUUGAUAAAGAUUCAAUUAUACUUCUGAUGGGAUUUUUUUCUGGUAGCUAUCUGUACAAGAGAAUGAACUUGAGAAAUAUUAAUUUCUAGAUAAAUUUCUUUGGACAGUGAAGCUUCCCCUGAAAAUUAAUGUUUUUCAUGGCUGGUUUUGAAAAAUAAACAUACUUACUAAAGUCAAUUUAUUCAAACGAUGUUUUCAGGGAGAUAAAACCUGUCAAUUACGUGGUAGAGAUGAGAUUAUUGACCACUUAAUUGCUGGUUGCUAAGUUGAUCUAAACCAUUUUGCAAUGUGCAUUGAACUCGAAAACUCUACCUGAUACUGUUGUGACUUAUUUAGCUCUUGGUUGUUGUAUUAUGUAUUGUUCUGAAGGACAUUAGAUCUUCAGAAGAAACUCCAAUGCAUCGAAGAUUAAAAGAAAAUCAUGAAGACUCACAUGCAUAUUGUUCACCAGACUCAUCAAUGGCAUCAUACGACUCGUAAAACCAUCGACCUAAUCACAAAUCAGUCGCUGGUUGCAUGCCUUAGCACUAUCAGUUCCUUGCGGUGAUCGUGGUUACUGUUUGUUUGUGGUGCAGAGGAAUCAGUACAACAACAGAACUUGAAGCUGACAAGGAUAGAUGAUGGUUGGUUUUGGUGGAGAGAUCAGGUGCAUAUGAACAACCUAUUAUCUUCCAUUUUUUGUUUUUCAUCAUUCAACGGGACAAUUUCCUAAUUCUUUUUUAGUACUGUCUGGAAAGGUUAUUAGUACAUAUAGGUUUUGUCAAAAUUUAUUAGCACAUAUGAGGGUUUUUGUUUGGAUCCCCUUUGGCUCUACAUAAUUCUUUGGAGUGGGAUUCUAGAUAGAUGCUUUUAUUGAUUUUCUCUCAUUGCAACGUACGGGUAUGUUUACUGUAAUAAUAAAGUCAGAAGGAGAAGGGCGAGGUCCAGAUGGAGCUCUGCCAGUUCCGCCGCUUUCAUAUCUCGACUGUUGCUGCUAGCUCUACUCUGCUCAACGAUAAAUUCUGUGUGGUUAGUUAAUUUACUAGGUAAAUUGCAUAGCUCAGUAGCAUGCACACAUGAACGCUCAAGUUACAUGUUUGGCCAGCCAUUCCUUGGCAGCCUAUGGCUAGGCUUCCCAGCAGAUGGAGAUGCUCUGGUUCAGAAUCUUAUAACAUGAAUUAUUGAAUAUUACGCAUUGUUUUAAAUCAAUUUAUUGAGCUAGAGACAUAAAAAAAUUUAUGCAUUGUUUUAAAUCAAUUUAUUGAGCUAGAGACCCUCCUAGGUAAAUUAUGGAGAUGCUCUGGUUCAGAAUCUUAUAACGUGAAUUAUUGAAUAUUACGCAUUGUUUUAAAUCAAUUUAUUGAGCUAGAGACAUAAAAAAAUGAUUUUUUUAGUAACAGAGAGUACGUGUUGUCCUUUUUAGGGGAAGAGAUUUUUUUUAGGGAAGGGGAAGAGAGUACAUGUUGUCUGUGUAAGUGUCGAUCGAGGUCCAGCUUAGGCCAAGCCCAAAAAACAGUGCAAAAAACAAUUGCAAAUGAAAUAUAAUUUUCCAAAAAAAUGUUGAUCACCAUAAAAACGAUUCCAUUUUUUAGAAAUGUUCUCAAAAUUACAAAAAAAACACCACCUCAAAAAAUAUAUAUUCAUGUUUUUAUGAACAAUAAUAAGUAAGAUCGAUUUAAAGACUAUUCCACGUGACUACUCGUUCAUCGCAUGAAAGUGCGGAGCUGAAGUAGGUCUUCGGUCUUCAUGUCCGAAUUUUAUGGUCCAAAAUGCUAUGCUCAAUGUAAUUUUAUUUCCAACAUUUGCCAACAUUGGAUAUGAGAGGUGUUGCACAAUGCUAUGUUUUAAAUAUUUUCGCCCGUUGUAACGCACGGGCAUUUGUACUAGUAGUACUAAUCUAAGGGCCGGCCAUUACUGGGCACAGCCGGCCACAUGCACGACGCACACACACCAUGCUGCACAAGGCACACACAACACACAGGGCCAUGGCCAGCUGCAAGCACACAGAACACGCAGAACACACACACACACAUCACACGCACUCACGCACACACAACACAUAGUUAGGAGUUAAUUCUGUUAUCUGAACAUAGCAUUUUGCGAUUUUUAUAUGAUUUAAUCCAGGCAUCCAAGGGAUUUGGUCCAAUGGGAUAAAAUGGAGUUCGUCAUGCAAACUUUCUACUCAUAUUAUUUUUGCUGAUGUUAGCAGUUGGUUAGCCACUGUUUAGAGACAAUCUAGAAGGUUAGUCAUUGUAAAAAUAAGAAAGCUAGCUAGUAGUAUCUACCGUAGCAAGCACUACAUGCAGAGCAGCGAUGGAAAGAAAAGAAGCAGCAAAAGUGCAGCAGCACGCAGAGCAUCAGCGCGAGAGGCGCGUGGACGUCGCCGGCUAGCGACUGCGGGCACGGCCGGGGCGACCAAGGCGCGGGCGGGAAGCAUGGCCGGCGCGGCCAGCUGAGCAGUGGCAGGCAGCGCAGUAGCAGCUCUGCAGCAGCAACAGUGGCAGCCGGAGGCGAGUGGGAGCAGCACGCGGGCGGCCGAAGGCGGUGGGCACGCGCGCUGUGCGGAGGCGGGCGCGCGGCAGGUAGAGCUGGCGCACGGGCACGGCCAGGCGACGAGGCGAGGUGAGGCACGGCGGGACGGGCACCGGGUGCGACGAGCAGGAGGCGCAGGCGAAGACUACGGUGGUGAUGGCAACGAUGGCUACAGGCGACCAAACAAAGCGUUGGGAGAGGGGUUCCGUACGGGGGCUCACCGUGAAGGCACAAGGAAGCCCGUCGAGAGGUUAGGAGCUGCAGUGGCGUGGAUCGACACGACGGAGCUCUGGUGGCCGAAGACGAAGUCAAGGUCGAUCUGCUCGUGCUGGUGCGGCUCCAGUCGAUUUGCUCCUUGUAGGCGAAGUAGGAGACGUAGACGAAGCAGAAGGACAAACUCCUAGGCAUCAGGGAGCUCAGUGGGCGCGAGGGCGAUGGCGGCCAUGGCCAUGACGGCGUCGUGUUCGCGUUGGGAAGAAGAGAGCGACGCGAGGGAGAGGACGAAUUGAGCUAGGGUUCGUCGGGGAUGUUGGGGGCUUGGCCUUAUACUCCAACGUGACCGGGGGAUGGCCGGCACGCGCCAUGGCGCAGCCAUGGCCGGUCGGAUGUCGGCCACGAUCCCCUGCCUCCCUAUAGCAGGAGGUUGGGGAUGAGUAGGGGUGUGGUCUGGGCCUAAUUCACUAAUGCACUAGGGCCCAGUACCAAUAGUCCUUCUCAAUCAGUUUUCAAUUUUGCUAUUGAUUUCAAUUAGUUUGUCCACUAAAUAAACUUUGCUAUAUAUGUAACUUGGCACAUAAUUGCUAUGAAAUAAACUAAGACCACACGCAAGGUUUUACAUCAUUCAGAAAAGCAUAGAUAUUUUCUUAUUUUAAAGAGUCUAAAAUAAUUGUUGUUGGACCAUUAUUAACUUCCUAGGAAUUUAUCUGUGAGGCAAAUGGAUGUUGGUUUCUACAUGAAUAUUCCUUAGUGAAUAUUUGCAACCCAACGGACAUUUUUAUUUUACCGUUAGAAGAAAAAUAAUUUCACUUGCAAAUUAAAAUUUGAAUUUGACUUCAUUUUCAUCAAGUGGCAAAUUGGCUUAAUAAAACUAGAUGACAUGGCACAUUAGGAUGAGGUUAUUGUAGCUUGAUUAUCGGGGCGUUACACAAGUAACACUUUGAUCAUACCUUUUACUACCCAGUUUUAUUGCAUUAGAUCAACCCUCAAGCCAUUACAUGAAUGGGAUCUGAUUAAUAUGUGGGUUUUGGAAAGUAGACGAGGUAGUACCUAUUAUCUGUUUUAUUAUCAAACCCUGGGAGUUACUUCUACGUUUGUUUAUGCCAUGCUAUGCUUGUAGACGUGGAUUGGGUUUGAGUGUAUCCAUGACAGAUGUGAGAAUGUUAAUUAUUGGUUCGACUUAAGGUGGCAACUUUAAUACACAUCUGAGUGGAUUGAGGCAUCUGGGUAUUCCAGCGAUUGCCUAUUGUUUUUCUUUAUGGACCGCCACUUAGGCUUCAAUGGAUCAUGAGAUUAUUCAUACUAGAAACUUCCGUGUGCAGCCAGAAGCUACUAUGGGCUCUAGCAUAGUUGAUUAAGUCGUGCGAACUCUUACAGUGGUAGACUAGCAGAUGUAGGGGAAAGUAGGUGUAACGGUCUACCCGAUCUUAAGGUGCUAGCUAGCGCUUCUGAAAGACUAUAUCUCGGUCAUCCAUUUCUCAAACACCAUGUAGUGCGAGAAUCCCAACGGAGGAGACCGAGUCUUGUGGGGAAACGUGCACAAACCUCUGCAGAGUGUAUAAACUAAUCAUGGUUAGCCGUGUCCCUGGUUAUGGACGUCUUGAGUAUCUAGUACUUGGAUUAUCAUGUGAAUCUCAUCAUGUGACUUUAAUUAAUUUUGUUGGGUUUUAAUGAUGAUGUUUAAUUGGGAUUGAGAGGGUGUCUACGCUCUCAAUGUUUAACAACCACCCUGAUAGUUAAAUAAAAUUUAUUCCCUUACAGUAGGGAAAAACUGGUUUUAUGCAAAACUGUAACCAUAGAGCCUUCCACCAGCCAUAUAUGCAUGUAGUAUAGCCAAUUUCUGUUCACUACUCUCUAUAUGUUACAUUGCCAACAUAUUUCAUGUGCUGACUCGUUUUCGGACUGCAACGUUCAUGUUGCAGACUUUACAGACGACGAGUAAGGAGCCUUAGGUCAUGGUUCUAUACUCAGUGAUGCCGUUGGAGUUGAUGGACUUACUUAUCUUUCAAGCCUUCCACUGUUAUCAUUAUUAGAUGGCCUUAAGCCAUAUUAUUUUGUAAUAAGUUCUCUUUUGAGACAUUCGAUAUAAUAAGUGUGUGAUUGCUACUCUGUUAUAAAUCCUUCAAGUACUGUGCGUGUCAGCAUUACUGAUCCAGGGAUGACACUGAUGCAUAGAGAUCGGACCGUUUGAGGUCUGGUCGCUACAAGAUGGUAUCAAAGCACACGCUAACUGUAGGACACGACCACCACUACAAAAAAAUAAACUUCCGUGAUGAUACGUGUUUGUCACAGUAGGUCGCUUUUUUUGUUAUGCAUGUACAUACAUGACAAAUUUAUGACAGAAUCAAGAUAGUCAUACCUGUGCUGUCGUAGAAGUGUUCCAUGAUAUUACCAAAAUUAUCAUCACGGAAGUGUCCACUUCCAUGAUGAUAAAUCAUGCGUCACAGAAGUGCUUUAGUCAAGGGUGACCGACAUGUGGCAUCCACCGUAACGGAACACCGUUAAGCUAUCGGGUCGGGUUUUGUAUCCGAUAACCCGUUAACAGCCCCGACCAAUGGGAAAUUUCCACGUGUAAAAUUCUUAUUGGCCGGACGAAACACGUGUCAGCUCGUCAAUGGGUCAGAUAGGCGCCUAUGAUACGUCGACACGUGGCACGGCCCAACAGAGGCCCAUUCCUGUGAAAAGGCCGGCCCGUUUGACUUGGUCAAAAGGUGGCGGGCCGGCCCAUGAAAAGCCUGUUAACGGCCUGUUCGCAUAUAGCCCAUAUACAGCCCGCUAACCCAAGGCCCGUUACGCCCUAUCCGAAUUAGGCCUAGUAGCGUCAUCUGAGCCAUCCAAUAUGAUUCCAGCCCAUUUUCACUUCUGGCCCAUGUAUGGCCCAUGACGUCUUUCGGCCCAUAUGAGGCCCUAUGUAACUCUUGGCCUAUUAACGGCCCAUGGUGAAACUGACCCGUAAUGAACAGUGUGUCACUUUAUACCCAUUAAUGGCCCGUUAUUCCGUUAGGCCGUUUCCAGCCCAUGUUAUCUUUCGGCCUUCUUAGAGCCCAUUUAUUCUUGGGCUCAUUUCCAGCAUUCGUUUACUUACGGCUUGUUACUGUCAUUUUCUGCUUGUGGGCCAAAUUCAGCCCGUGGUUACAGUCGGCCCGUUUGUGGUCUGUUAUUAUGUUGGGCCGUUUUCAUAGCGUCAUCAAAUACGGCCUAUUAACGAUGGCCCGUUACGGUCGGCCCAUGAACAGACGAUUCCAACUCUAGCCCGUUUACGGCCAUAAUGCGGCAUGUUAUUGGCCCAUGUUUGGCCAAUCGAUCAUACGGCCCGUAUAAGGCCCAUUGAUGAUACGACCCGUAGAAGGCCCAUUGUUUCUACAGCUCGUAGAAGGCCCACUGUUUCUACGGCCCGUAGGAGGCCCAGUGUCACUACAGUAAAUAUUAUCCCAUGGUUAUUGUGGCCUACUUUUAAAAAAUAGGUUAUUACAGGCACUAGUUAAUCGCGGAAAAAGAACGGCAAUGGCUACAAGAAAACAAAUAAACAAGACAAAAAGGAAAUAAAUAAGCAAGCAACUAAUGCUAGGCUAUCACGGCUAUUACACAUAUUACAUCCACUGGGCAUCAAAGUUCGCCACCAGUGCAAAUAUAGGGAACAAAGCAACAUAUCAUAUACACUGACCGUCAAAAUUGGCCACCAGUGCAAAUAAACGCGACAGCAAAACAAGAGCAUAACUGAAACAACUUCAGAAGAGCUCAAGAAACGUUAUCCUGGUAUCCACCAUGCUGGCAAUAAGCUUAGCAAGCUGAUUAGCUUUGUCCUGUUUGGCGCUAAAAUCCUCCAAUGCUUGCUGUUGCCCCAGAAAGUAUGCAUCUGAAUGCUCCAGGGACUUCCGCAGUCCUUCCGCUUCUUGUCGCAGCACAGCUGAACGAUGUCUUUUAGCUUGUAGUUGAGACUCAAGAAACCGAACUGAUUUAGACAGUGAGUUUGAAUAGCUUGUGCAAGCGGUAGUGGCCAGUAACUCCAACACUAAACCAAGACAGGAUGUGUCACUAUCCCGAACCUUAUCUGCAUUACUUCCUUUACCGUCGCUUAAUAAGGCACUCUUCCCCAAUAUUCUGUCAGCAUUCUAAAAGAAGAAACAAGCAGCCACAUAACAAGUUUAGCAUGUACUAGUAUAUGAAACUCAUUUCGGUGAACCAGUUCAUUAGUAAGGUGGACAGGAUUAAACUACCAAGUCUUCUAUUGCCAAGUACUAGUACAUAAUAAAAGCAUCAAACAAACAUAUAUCUAUGUCCUAUGAUAGCAAUGGAAUCUUAAAUUAGAACAUUUGUUCUUCAGGUUUAGGCACUUGUUCUACAUGAACAGAGUACAGUAAGACGCAAGAAUAUAAUACUUAAAAAUAGAAAAUGAGCUCAUAGACCUUACCACAUUCUUGGUUCGGGACCAGUAUAGAACAAGGCGUUCCCAGUCAUCGUCCAGUAAAUGUGUCUCAGGAGAACGUAAGGGAAUUUGAUGAGUUUCUUUGCCGGUGAAGUACGUUUUCUUUAGGUAAUUCCGAUACUGCCACCAAGCAUUCUUGAAGAUAGCAGAGGUAUUAGCACAGGUUACCUCAUCCUGAGUUUCCAAAUUGGUCCUUCUCUAUAGAGAAAGAUGGGAAAAUUUGCUGUAUUAUAACCAUCAUGGAGGUAGGAUGUAUGGGACGAAGCAAAGUAAUUGCCAUGAAUAACAUUACUUACACAUAACUCCUGGACAAACACCUGCAACUGGCAUUUUCCUUCAUCUUCAGUAUAAUGUUUCCAAGAUGGGAAGAUACGCACAUAUGCUAAACUACGACUAGCUGGUUGUGCUUCCUCCACAGAAAUAGGCGUACUAACUGGUGAAGUUGGGGUUCGCCGUGAUAGUACUGGCCCUUUGGGCACUGGAGCUGCCUUACUAACUACUCUUGUAUAGGAGCUGUGUGGUGGAGAUGGUGCUGUGUCAAUAGGAACUGGGUUACUAUCGGCUGGGGUUGGGGUUAGAUUGGGUGAAGCUGGUUCUCUGUCCAUCGUAGUAGGGGUACAAUCUGUGAGAGUUUGGGUUAUGUGUGGUAGGGCUGGUUCUUGUGCAUGUACAACUGGGGUGCUAUCUCCAUCAAGAGGUAGCAUUGUUUUAUUUGAAGACCGUAUUUUUAGUCCGCUAGAUACUGGCAUCACCCGCUCCAAUUCAAAUGGCUGAUAAACAGGAAACAUAGUUGAAUGUACAGACAUUGUAUGAGAAACAGAUGCAAUAGAUAGUGUGGAAAAAAGAGGGCAUGAAAUAGUUGACAUGUAUAUUGUUUAACUAAAACGGAUAGCAUGACAUAAUUUCACAUAUAUGAUGUCUAUCUAAACUGGAUAGCAUAGCAUAACAUAAUUCAAAGAUAUGAUGAAUAACUAAAUAGGAUCGCAUGACAUAAUUCACCCACAUGUUAUCUAAGUAAUCAGGAUCGCAUCAUUUAAUUCACAUAUGUGAUUUCUAUGCUAAAUAGAGGGCAUUCGAUAUGAUGUCUGAACUAAGAACAUGGUGUUGAAGAUUGUGUAUAUAAUGUCUAAACUAUGCAAUGCAAGACACCGUAUGCAUGAUAUGAGCAGUAUAACCGUGCCAAGUUAGAGCAUACACCUCAGUGGGGGAAUAGGACUGGUCAUCUGUCUCUGAAUCCAUCUCCGAGGAGCUAUCGGGACUCAACAAGAGAUCUGCUUCGACAGGUAGCACUGUCUGCUCUAAAGGCCUUAUUUUCACUCCAAAUUUUUCCAUCUCCCACCCAAAUGGCUGAUUCUCAGGAAGAGUAGUUUAAUGUACAAACGUUGUCGACAAAUGGAAAUGUAAUGAAGAAAAGGAUGAGCAAGAUAUCAUUCAAAUAUAUGAUGCCUAGUUAAACAGGAUGACAUUGCACAUUUCACAUAUAUUAUGGCUGGCUAAAAGACAUGAGAGUGCAUAAUUUCCAUAUAUGAUAUAGAAACUAAACAGGUGGCAUUACAGAACAUGUCUAAACUAAGUAGAUGACAUAUAUGAUGUCAAAAGUAGGCACUUCAAGGCAACAUAUGCAUGAUAUGACUAACAUCAUCAUGCCAAGGUAGAACAAACACCUUGGGGGGUAAAUAGGAGUGGUCAGCGGUGUCCGAAUCCGCCUCAGAACAGAUAUCUUCCUCUGGAUUACAAUCUGGAGAGGGGUGGGGAGGGUUUGCCAUUGAACCCACCAUUGAGCGAUGUCUGCAUGACAUUGUAUUGCCGCGCAAAACUUUUCUCUUUUUCUCUACAUGUUCAGCAUGAAUGUGUACAAUAUCUGACGUGCAUACGAAAACAAUAUGGUGAGAUUAUGUAAGGAGAGCAUGCAGAAAUUUAGAGUGAUGGUAACAACCAGUGGAUCGAUGUUUUUCCAUUGAACCAAAAUAGCCCUAAUGGAUCGACGUGAAUGUAUAGUAAUAAGUGAUGCAACAAGUGUACAAACUCUUCACCAUAGCCAUGUCGACCUCUGCAUCAUUGGGUUGGUCGCUGAAGCAGUUGAGGCAGAGGUGGCUGUCGGAGGUGUGGAGGAAGAUCUGACGAAUCUGUAGACAGCGUCCAGGGCACUGCUCUGUUAUGAUGGAUCGUUCUGUCGUUGGAGCAGCUCCGGUGAGCCGUAAGACGUCAAGGCUGAAGCAGCACAAGACAGACAUCGUCAAUCUCAAGUUGGAUUCUAAUAGCAUCUCCAAUAGAUGAUGUAAAAUGGAUGUAAAAUUAACAUCACCAAAAACCACCUGACUACAACAGAUGAGGUAAAAACUGUUGACUCUGAACUUAACUGUCAAAACUGAAAUUUAUUGUACAAUCUGAAUGCUAUUGUCGAAACUGAACGCAAUGGUAGCAGAGAGGCACUUGACAUGUAGUUUAGGGAGGGCCUACAGUUCAUUUUCAACCUGCACCCCCCUGAGCCGCCAGCCACCAACCGGCCGAACCGCCGGCCCCAGCGCCGCCUCGCCGCCCCAAAACAACUCGCCACUGCCGUCCCGGCUAGCCCUCUAGCCCCCCCGCCCCCUAUCCUGAACCCUAAGAUAGAUAGUGGGGUACCUCUCCGGCGAGUCCCCAUCCUCGCUGCGGGUGGUUCUUCCUUAAAUCCGGCGAGCCCCCCCCAACCCCUAAAAAUCGACUGAUCCAAAAUUCGAUUCAGUCGACUGAAGUGUGGCUUAAUCAAAGUAGAGCAGCAGCACGAGCGAGGGGGAGAGCAGCAGCAGCAGCUGGGCGAGCGAGCGAUCGAGCGAGAGGCGGAGCAGCAGCAGCAGAUUCGGCUGGUAUGGACGCCACCACCGAAGGGGCCUCGCACUGGGGGAGAGCCUCCGUGGAGAUGUCGCCCGCGGCGCCGACUUCAAAGUAGCCGCUCCAUGGAGGUGCGGGAUGGAGCACCAUCGGCGCCGGGAGGUCGAUUAAAGGAGAAGGUGCGAUGCGAUGAGUGUACAACCUCUUUGGUGGCGCCGAGUAGGCCUCGGCUUCGUCCGAGGAGUCGGUGAGGAUGCUGCGGUUCCGGUGGAGCAGGUUAAGGCGGCGCUGUGGGGAUGGAGCAGCCGCGAUAGACAAGGCGAUCGUCGGAGCAACUCCUUGGAGGUGGAGGACGGGGCGGCUGAACCGGCGGGACGACGAGAUGGACGACGGAUCCUCAUCCGGGGAGGUGGACGAGGGACGUCGAGCUGUUGCAGUGGACGACGUCGUCGGGGAAGAGGCUCCGGCUGGGCAGCGGUGACGUGGCGGACGGAGGAGGGUGGGGUUUCGCGGGUGGAGCGGAGAGGUUAUGGCGGCCUGGGAUUUCGAAUGGCGAAAAGGGGGCGAUGGGAGGGGGUGAAGCAUGACUUAGGAAUGCGUUUGUCCAAAAUAUAGGGUGAGUUACAAAAGUACCCCCCACCGAUUUGAACUAGCGGCCCUUUCGGCUCAGGGUUAGAAGGGGGAUUUCGUGUAUCGGGAUUUGGCAGCUGAAGGGAGUUUUCGCGCGCGUUGUAAUUUCGGGAUAGCAAGGCGUGGGUUGUGAAGGCGCUAGUUUUGGGAGCACGAUAUCUGAAUUUUCGGGAUAUAACAAGAUGCGGGUUGAAUUUUAGGGACAAUCCUAACAUGUAGUAAUAUUGUACUUGUACGUACCAAAUCAAUUCGCACUUCCCUCAACCAAAAAGAAAACGAAAAAAAUAAAACUAUUCACACCACACAAAGAGAGAGUCUUGCCCCGUUUUACUAUACAAAUGCUAUUCAAAGCUACUCCCUCCUUCCAUCUAUAUAGGGCCUAAUGCGUUUUUCGAUGCUAACUUUGACCAAAUAUUAGAGCAAUGAUAUAUGACAUGCAACUUACACAAAGCACACUAUUAAAUUCGUCUGUGAAAGUUUCUUUCAAUGAUAUAAUUUUCUAUUAAUCUUGUCAAUAGUCAAAGGCGGUCUUAAAAUCUCAUUACGCCCUAUAUAGAUGGAAGGAGGGAGCAUGAAUCCAUGUUAUGUCCGAUUAAAAUUUUUCGCUUGCUGUAUAAUGCAUGUAACCUACUCAUACCAACAUUUUAGUGCAUUCCAAAUGUCUAUACUACCGCUGCAAUUCGAACUAAAUUUGAAUUCGUUUCUCUAUUUCAAUAAGAAUCUACAAUCAUGAUUGUUGCCAACUUCGACCAUCAUAGUUUCCUUGCUACCCGCCAGAUAUAAAUCAGACGGCCUAUAAUGCAGGAUGGCAGGCACACCAUCGUCAACAACUCCGUUUUUAUAAGAGUAGAGAUAAAAUAUAUUAAAUGUAGUAUACCAUGUUCAUAACCACACCAUGUGUAUCACCGUUAUAUAUAUUCACACAUCCAUCGGUUUGAAACACUAUGAUAAAUUCUUCAAAUAUCUGAAUUCGCUUUUUAUAAUGAAGUAUAUAUGAUCUCUAUUCGUCUUUUACACGCACACAACCCUCUUAUCUUUGUAGCUAGCGCCAACUUUCUCUUGUGCAUGCACACGCCCGCAUCCCUCUCACCCACCCUCAGCAUUCUCUAGCUCCAUCGCGCAAAUUCGUCUUUUCACUUUAGGUCGUUCACCCACGGUGUGUGUAGGCCCCCCAGCUCCUUCUUUACGACACACAUUGAUCGAUAUGCCUCUCUAGCCAGGUGUGCCUAACACAAACACAAGCUUCCCCUCUUCUCUUGUCACCGUCCAUGCCUCACUCCCACCACUCUUUUCAUCGUUCUCGUACUCGCACACUCCUCCCCCUCGAUAUAGUAUGCCUCUCUUACCACCUCCUACAUGCAUCCCUCUCUCUAUCCUUCUCCUUGUGCCUCAUUUGCUUCUAACACACACAUGCAUGUAUACCGAUCGAUCUCCCAACAUAUACCUAGAUCGACUUUAACUACCCCCCAUCGAUCGAUGUACCUCACAAGUUAUGUCUCUCCUUUCUCUUACAAAGGGCGAUUGAUCUUCCUAUGUAGUUACGUCUGCUUACCACAGCCACAUCGUCCCCCCUCAUCAUUCGUGCAUGCCUCCUGACCUGUCUCUCACAUGCACGUGCACAAACAACAAGCAUCCAUCUCCUCUCUUAUUGAUAUUGCGGGUGUGCCCUCCGUUUGUCUAGCAAGCCUAUCCCACCAUUUGUUAGAAGCAACUCCAUUACCAUCCCCUCCAACACUCUAGCUCUGUCUCUCUCCCAACCUUAUUCAUCUCCUACACAUAUGCAUGGAUGCAGAUCGAUCUCCCUUAAUACAUGAGGCAGAUCAAUCUCCUUAAUACAUGAGGUAGGCCUCUCUCCUCCUCCACACAUAUACCAGCCAUUGUACCUCUAUAGUUAAUUGGGCCUCCCUCUUCCCCCACCACACACUGAUAGUCGAGCGCUGCAGGUAGGUAUCCAUGCCACAGAGACAAACUGCACAUGUCCCAUCUAACGUUCCAGUAGGCCAACCACUCUAUAUCUUUGACGUGGGCACACACAAAUUCGAUGGCACUCUUUAUCGAUCGCGCGCGCACACACACACACACAUCAUCCCUCUCUUCGAUUCUAUGGACACCUCAAGCCGAUGAUACCUCCACUCUCUUCUCGUGGAUCGCCCCCUCUAUAUAUAUGUUAUAUCCAGGACUCCAUUUCACACACAUUGCAUAUGUUAAAUUUUUUGAUUGCCCUCCCCCACAAAAAACUCUCAAGAACCCACACACUAUAUCUCUCUAGGUUUGUAUCUCUCUCACGCAACCCCACAUAGGUGGUGUACAUAUACAAGAAGAGAGUAGGUGCACCAUGCACGUACUCAUGCUUCGUGCCCAGCCACACCCGCGCGGGUACACGGUAGAGCUCAUUUCUUAACGAAAUGGCAGCCCACGUGCUAAUCUGAACGCAUGUAGCGGUUGUUUACCUAGGGAGGUCGUGUACCGUGCGUGCACGAAACAAAGUUCGACUUGACGCGUUGCCGCGUUAUUUUAAAAUAAAGUUAUAGCGCUCAAUGGCACGUACACAGAAUAUAAAAUGAUUUUUAUGGAGGAAAAGGUAGUCCGCUCUUCAGAGUAUCUCACACAAGGCCCCGGUGGCCUCUCUCUCUCUCUCAUCGUUGGUCACUGUUCUAGCCGCAUCCCGUCCGCCAGGGGAAAGGGAGUGCGGUGGCCUCUCUCUCUCUCACCGUUGGUCGCUGAUUCGGCCGCAUCCCGUCCGCCGGGGGAAAGGGAGUACGGUGGCCUCUCUCUCUCUCACAGUUGGUCACUGAUCCGGCCGCAUCCCGUCCACCGGGGGAAAGGGAGGAAGUGCAUCGUUUCUCUGUUCGACGGCGCCGAGGCAGCACGUCCUGAUCUGCGGUACAUGCCGUUCUCUCUGACCAAGCUCCGGCGCGGCAGGGCCUACGCCACCUGCUCGCAGAUUCUGCCCGCCUCCGCUCACCUAGUUACAUCCCGACGACCUCCAGGUAUCCCCUCUGGCCUUGCUCCACUGCCCGUUUUCCCACGUCGCUGCAUGUGGAUCUUCCAUAGUUCUUUGCCCAAAACGUAGCUCGUUCGGCGUACUUUCCAUAUUGCAUUCUCGUCCUCACACCGUUUUAGACAAACAUAACCGUGUUGUUAUCUUCCCUUAGGACAAGGAAUAUGCUUCUUUUUUGUCGUCACAUGUGCCAUCAACUGUUAUUGGCCAGUAAUUGUUUCCUUUCUACCUCUUUUUUGCAAACAGGGCUAUCCAUUUCACGUCGUUGCUAUUGCGACCUUUUGGUGAACUGCACAAAUCACUUUUUUCUUAAGAGUGUUUUGUGCAGUUGUACUAAAAUGUCACACGGGCAACGCCUCUACAUUUCAGUGCAACUGCACAAAGGGAGAUUGGUUUUGCUCUAUCCUCCUCAUCCAACUCCGAGCCUAAUCUUCUCCAACUAGUUAGUCUUAAGAGAGACUGCAAAGGUGACCGGCUUCUAUUUGUGUGUUUAUUGUUUCAUCAGCAGUCCUCUAUUAUCGUAAUCACACUUGAUAUCUUUGGAACAGGGACGCUCAGCUCUAUUUUAGUGGAACUGCACAAAAUGAUCGGAAUGUUGCAUGCUCCAGACAGCUACUUUUUUUCCCAACAUGCCUUGUUGAUUUAGACAGAGCUGGGGGAUGUUGCUGCCAAUGAAAGCAUGGAUCAAUUUUAAUUUAACACCUUCUCACAACUUUGUCUUCAGUUGUGAUGUAAUUAUUAGCUCUGAUCUGCUAAUAAUUGACAUGCAUUAGCAAGGAAGUUAGUUUUUUAUUGUUUCUGAAAGAGCGUCGAUGGCAAGACACGCAAAACAAAAGCUAAAAGCUCACACCAUUGUACAAUUUCAUGUCGCUGGAAAAUUAUUUGUAUAGUACGUCAAUUAUGUAAACAAAUGAUGGAAGCUUGAUAGCAUUACCAGAAGCCUCUUCAUCAUUCGGGUCCAUGUGCCAUGCACAAAAUUAUACUCCUUCGUUCCUAAAUAUUUGUCUUUUUACAAAUUUCAAAUGGGCAUAUUUUAGAGUGUAGAUUCACUCAUUUUUCUUCGUAUGUGUACUCCCUCCGUUCCUAAAUAUUCUAUUCAUCUUAACAGAGAUUUCAACAAGUGACUACAUACGAAGCAAAAUGAGUGAAUCUACACUCUAAAAUAUGUCUAUAUACAUCCGUAUGUGCCAGUCCAUUUGAAAUAUCUAAAAACACAAAUAUUUGAGUAGUCACUCGUUGAAAUCUCUAGAAAGACAAAUACUCCGGAGUAUAUUUAAGAACCGAGGGGGUAGUGCACAACCGCAUGGGAGACUCAGCCCGGUCGUUGCGCCGCAUUAAUAGUGAGUAAUGAGUAGUCAAAUCAUAAGCCCCACCUUUCCCACUGUAAGUUGCUCCGAAGAAGCAAGCAUCAAUACGCUCUUCUUUGAAUCCGCUCAUACUACUCCAUCCGUCACUAUUUAUACAGCGCGCUUCGGAAAAAAGAAAAAAAAAUCUGUGGGACCAAGGCGACUAGCAAUCGGCCUGAAAAAUAGCAUUGGUAGUUAUAGCACGGCGUCUAUUACUAGAGGAAAUAAUGCGUAUACACAUGCAUGUAGUGCUUCCACCCCGGGUACACACAUGCAUGCACUCCGUAGUAGUACAGUACAUGGAGAGAAAAUUGUGGACUUGAUUGCGGUUACCAUGCCCUAAUUAAUUGAGCAUUAAACCACACGCGUCUAAAGUCUCUCUGGUGGUGGAAAUGCAUUGAGAGAAAUGCAUCAUAAUGAAGCGCGCCGUGUAAACUGUGACGGAGGGUGGAGUAGUAUGAAGGUGCAAAACCAAGUACGCGUACUACUGCGCUUGGCUCUUCGCCCCUUCGUGAAGUCGAACGAUGAUGGUAGUCCGCAUGUUGGGUACUACAGUGUAGGACUUUGCCUCUGACAAUCUGACACCGAAUGGACUGAUGCAUGUCCACCGAGGGUAGGUUGCAUUAGUCAAAAGGCGUAAGUGAGCUUCACCUUGUCCUGCAAGCUUCUCCUCAUUUUGCGAGUUGACGGGACACACCAAAAAGUAGUGCUAGUCCAUACUCCCUCCUUUUCGGUUAAUAUGGCUUAAUCUUUUUUGCGGGUAAAUGAGAGAGCUUUAUUCAUAUAUAAGCAUUCUUAGGACAAUCAGCCAAGACACUGGUCACUAGGAAGCGAGGUACCCCGCAAAAAAAGAAGUAGGAAGCGAGGUGUUUCAUCAAGCCAGCUCUCGGCCACAUUCAAAGUGCAGCAAGCACGGUUCGCAUGAAGAUGUGCCGCAAGGUUUGCUGACUUGUUUACAUGCUGAAUAACAAAAAAAGAGGAAAUAUUACUGAGCGCUACUAUUUGUAACAGGAUAUGAGCCAGAAUUAAGCGAGAAUUGUGGCGAGUGUUCCAUGCAAUCAACUUCCAUUAUCACGUGCAAGAACCCUAGAAGAGAACCAAAUGUGUUGAAGAUUGCUUUAUCACAUUUUAAAAUUAUAAUAAGAGUGCAGACGCUCCUCCAUCUAGUUCCUAGUACUAGUAUAGUACGUACCUUUAUGGACUAUAGUAUUAGUACUAGUAAACUUUGGGCUUGGCUGUUCGGGAAGUCGAACAAUAAUAGCACUAGUAGUAUAGUGUAUGCUUCUGGCAAUCUGACACCAAAUUAACUGUUGCACGUCCACCGCCUGAGCCAGGGAGAGCUUGCAUUAGUCAAAAGUUUCUCCUUGUCCUAUUAGCCACCGCGUGCAAGCUUCUCCCAUCCUGCAACCUUCUCCUCGUUCGGCAAGUUGACGGGACACAACAAAGUAAUGCUAGUCCAUGCUGCCUCCUCUCCGGUUAAUAUGGCUUAAUUUCAAACGAGAUAAAUACACUGUCUGUCACUGUAUAUUUGUAAAAAUACGGUCAGUGGACUUCAUAAUACGCUCAUUGCGCUCAAUAUAUAUAUUUUCCGGUGUUCAUACGGUCACUAGCUCAUCCUGACUGAGUAUGUGUGUGCAUGCACGUGUAGGUUGAGCACUUGAGCGUGACUAUGUGUGUUCCGUCGUGUGCUCAGACAUGCAUGCAUUAGGGCGUCGUGCAUGUUUUUGCGUCCAUGUGUACGUGUGACUGUUGCAUACACGUAGGGGGAGUACGUGUAGGGGCCACUAAGGAGUAGUCAAAUCACAUAGUAAGUUAGUCGGAAGAAGCAACCAUCAUUUCACUCUUGUAUGACACGUACGCAAUAUAAAAUGGUUGAUAUGGAGAGAAAAAGAAAACCACUAUAUAUACACUAGCAGGAGCCUAAGCUACAAGCCUGCUUGCUUAGGUUGCUCUCUUCACAAGCAUAGAACGACGGGUCUGAUCCCGCAGCUGGGGGAAGGGAACAAUGUUCUUCGUAGACGCGUUCGACAUCGGUGAGGGAGAAAAACCACAGUCGGUGCAUCCCAAUCGGGGUUCACCGUGGUAUGGGCCGAUGCCGCAUCCCAACCGCCCUUCUAGCUAUAGCCCGACGUCCCAGGUAGUCCAUCUUCCUUUUGGAGCCGGCUUGCUCCACUGCUGUAGCUCCAUCUCCAUGUCGAUCUUUCUCUACUUCUACCGGCUUCUAUUUGUGAUGAGUUUGUCUCAUGAACUAGUGCCAGUACUAUUAUUCUAAUCAUACUUCUUCAAUAUCUUUGCCAUCAGGGAUGCUCAGGUCGAUUUUAGUGGAACUGCACAAAAGCAUUGUAUGAUCCGAGGGUGCCAGCUGUCUUUCCUUCCCGACAUGGAAAGUGCUAUGGAAUAAGAGGUACCAGAAGGUGGAGAACCAAAGAGUGUUGCUUCUAUUGUUGCUGACAUUCCCACUAAAGAAUCUCCCUCUAGCACAUUCCUUCGACAGGUUCUACCUGGCCAGGAAAUUAAAUCAUGUUUAGGGUUUAGGGUUUAAGUCGUAGUGACCCCAUCAGUAGUUUUUCUAUCGUACACGCUCUCACAACUUUUUUCUUUAGUUGUGAAGUAAAUAUUGGCUAUGAUCUGUGAAUCAUUGAGAUGCAUCAGCAUGCGUGUUAGUUUUCCUUUGUAUUUGAUGGAAUGUUGUAACGGGGCAACCUUGGAAUAGGAAUGAAAAUGGAGUGGAAAAGUCUCCGUUUUUCCGGAGAAAAAAUGGAAACGGAGAGAAACCAACAUUUCGUUUCGUCGGAUCGCGCCAUCGAGCAACACCAACGUUUAAAUCACGUCUGUCGUGUUCGUGUCUCACCCUCCUCCACGGCUCGACCCCACACGGUCGCUCGGCAUGCCACUCACCGUAAACCGAGUAGUAUACCAUAACUUUCUCGCCUGCUUGUCGAUGGAUCGCACCAUGGAGUACUAGCACUACUGGAAGAGAUUGACGAGUUGGGGGAGGACAGCUAGCUGUAGCACGGACUCCCAAGAACUUACUACUGGAAGAGAUCGCGCAUGUUGUAGCCGUCUAUUGCGACCUUUGAACGCGGAGCAGCCGCGUGCACCCGGAAGUGGCGCGGGCGAUGCUCUCUCGGCCGGUGCGCCGCAAUCAAUGCCGGCGCCAGUGAGAGGUUGCAUUCGCUCUGGCCGGGCAUGAAUGCGGCACAGACCGUUUCGGGCGGGAAGCACGCGCGGGUGAUGAAGAGGGUUCGGGUUGGUCAGGACCGGCCGUGGCAGCGGUACGAACAUGCGCAAACAAGAGAUGUUGUACGUUAAUAUUGCUGCGUAUAUAAUUAACAACAUAAAUAAUGUGCCAGUUGGACAAAUAUGAUUGGAGAUGGAGAUGGAAAUGGAAUUUUACGUAAACACGGAUAUGCAUGUCUAUGUCUAUGUGUGUGUGCGCGACGACUCUCGUGACUUGGAAGCGGGGGCGUGUUUUUAUCGAGUUUUCUUUCUUGGUACGUUAGAAAAUCAGUUUGUCUAAUUCACAUCUAGAUGUUAUUAAGGAUAUCACAUCUAAGCUCCCACAAGUAUAUAAUGUAGCAACAAGAAACAAAAAAAAACUAGGAAAAGACCACAAACAGAGUGGACAUCAACUUAUAUGUGACAUAACUAUGUCACAUCUAGAUGUGUCCAAGACAGACCCUUAAAAAUUGUCCGCCAGUUUUCGUUUCUUUUUUCCGCGAACGCGCGUAUUCUAUUUAAAACCACUGCUAUGGAGAGAUUUUUUUACUCCAUUAUAGCCUCUUGUUUGAUAGAGUUUCUCGCGUCUCGCUCUCUCACCCUCUCCAUAUCAAAACAAGAUGACAGUGUCCACUCUAUCUCUCUCCUCACCGGUGUUCACAGAUCCGGCCGAAUCCCGUCCGUUGCGGGAGGUGCAGAGGUGCAGCGUUGACGUUGUCGCCGUCGGUGACGGAGGAAGCCGAUGCGCACCGUCCUCUUGGAGCCGGCGCUGGCGCGGACGAAGAUCCUCCACGCCCUUGUUCGCUGCCGUCGUGUGGGAAAAUCCCGCCUGCCUGCCUAAACGACAUCUCACCCACCUGAGGUAUAACUUCUUUUACUGGUCCAGCUCCCCAGGUCGCUGCGUGCGGCUUUUCUUCUAUGCGACUACUCCCCAGCUCCCCAUGCAUAGUAGCUAGGUUUCGUCGGCUGGUCCAACAUCACCUACUAGUACUAUUAUAGAGGAAAUGCCACUCAAAAAGUUGUCCUGAUUUAUGCCUCGGUGGAGGUAUACAUGUUGUUUCGACAAAAAGUACAUGGUGGUUGUGCGAUCAUUGUCCAUAUGGUGCUAGUACUAUCACUGGUUAAAUGAAGAAAUGCUUUUUUUCUUGGGUAUCCUGGUUUAGUUCCCAUCAAGAUAAUUAUGAUGCUUCUGUUUGUUGGUGUACUUUUCAUUAAUUCUUAUCGACAAUUGAGAUGUCGUUGCUAACCCUUUUUUAUAUUUUUGGAAACAGCGAUGCGUGUCUCCAUACCCGGGAAUGUCUACCUCAAUUUUAGUGGAACUGCACAAAAUUGGAUGGCCAUUGUUGUUCCACUUCACUGUCCUCUGCCACGUGGUUCUUCCUUCCUCAAGCUUGAUUACUGAGAAGAAACAUACCACAAUGAGGAUUUGUCGAACUUCUUAGGUGCCUCACCCAAACUUGAUGCCAAAUGGAUGAUGCAUCACCACGAUGACCUAUCGAUGCACAUGGUUGCGCCUCAUGGUUGCGUCAGCUAGUGAAGCUGAUUAAUUUUCGACGAAAAACAAGUUGUCUUCCAUCAGUGCUCUUUGCUUGUUACGCACAAAGAUGAUAUCCUUCGUCAGUUCACCUUGGUUGCGUUGGAGACGCAGUCGUCUUUCACGUUGGUGCAAUUUUCGCUAGGGUUUUACGACAGGUGGGCCCAAAAUGUGGCUGGCUCACCUGUCAUACAGCCAAAAGCAGGUGCAGUGAAGGCACUGGAGCUCAGUCCAUACUACAGUAGUAUAUAUAUAAGCGGGAGCCUCAGCGCUUAUUCACUAGGGUUUGCACUCUCCACACGCUCGCCGCACUACAUAUAUGUUACACGCUGGAGGCUCAGCGUUCAUUUGCUAGGGUUUGCUAUAUUCAGUCUCUCACCCUCUCUUCACCAGAUCUAAACAAGACUGCGUUGGCCACUUGUCUCUCUCUCCCCCCUCACAGCUGGUGAAGGAGGCGUCCGUAUCCCGUCGCACCAGGAAGGGGAGGAGGUGCAGCGUUCACUAUAUAGCCUUCGGCGAGGGAGGCAAUCCACUGCCGGCUGCGCUGUUCUCUUUCACCCAGCGCCUGUGCGGGAGGGCCACCGACCCCUUCUUCCUCACUGCCGUACGUAGUGUGGGCAGAUCCGGCCUCCCGCCGCAUGCCUUGCCACAUCCCGACGACCCUAAGGUAUAAGUUUCUUUGAAACCGUCGUUACUCUAGCUGCAUGUGGAUCUUUUUCGAUCUGUAGUCGAAUCUAGGUCUUGGUUCAAAGAGGAAAGAAGGGUGCGGUGGGAUGGAGCAAGAAUCUAGGACGUGGUUCAAUGAGGAAAGGAGGGGCGGAAAGUAGUAUAGACUGGCUAUCCAGCCGCUUUGUAGGUCGAAAAGGGAAAAAGGGGGUAACCCAGUACACACAUCUGUCAGGAACCGAUCUCUUUGUUGAAAAGGGAAAGAAACUGGGGGGGGGGUAGUUUGUGCACGACUAGAUUUGUUGCCCUCACAUAGGAAGAAGGUUCAAAGAGAACAAAUAUGGGACCAGCGCAUAUAUGCUGCUUGGCUACAUACUCUACAUCACCCAUUUAUACGUGUGGACGGACAUGGUGCUGGCAUGUCCCAUGCAACUAUUUUGCUGUUGUUAAUCUUAGAAUUAACUACUGAUCUGUUUUAAAAGAAUUUCUCUGUUAAUAUGAAUCAAUGCAACCGUUUUAGAAAUGCUACUGUCCUAUACUUUGUUUUCCAUCAAGAUAAGGUAGAUGCUUCUUUUUGUGGCCGCAUGUUUCAUCCUCCUUUAUUGGCCAGUAGUUGUUUUCUUUUUUGCCUCUUAAAACAUGGAUAUCUAUUCAACUUGUUGCUAUAGAAAACUUAAAUGUCACACCGGCAACUUUGCUUGAUUUCAGUGCAACUGCACAAAACGAGAUUGGAUUUCCUAUUCGUGUUGGUAGAUUCGUAUUUUAUGUUGGUCGUCUCAUGAAAGGUCAGUACAGGCAUUCAUCCACAUGAUUGUGCAGCGUGCUUUGAGAUGCUGUGCUACUUGUAUUGGUACUGUUUUAAAUAAAUGAUGAAUUGAAGCUAUUGUAUUGCUGUCUUUUCCCAUUAAGUAGUGAACAAAAAUGGGACCAACCCAGACAUGAUGCUUGUUGCUUUGUUACAACAAAUUCAGCAUCACCCCCUUUAUAAGCCAGUAAUUGAUGCCACUCUCAGAAUUAACUACUGAAUCUUAUUUCAAAACUACAACACUUGUUAGGGAUUGGCGGGAUUACCAUUUUUGUGGCCGCAUGUUUCAUCCUCCUUUAUUAGCCAGUAAUUGAUUCCUUUUUUGCCUCUGUUUAUACAGGGAUAUCUAUUCAACUUGUUGCUAUUGUGACAUUUUGCUUCGCUACGUGAAACACUUUGCUUGAUUUCAGUGCAACUGCACAAAACAAGAUUGGAUUUCCUAUUCGUGUUGGCAGAUUCGUACGUGAUCUUGUGUGCGUCAUGAUAGGUUGGUACUUGCCUUCAUCCACAUGAUCGUGCAAUGUGUUUUGAGAUGUUGUGCUACUUUUAUUGGUACUAUUUUAAAUAAAUGAUGAAUUGAAGCUAUUGUAUUGCUGUCUUUUCCCAUUAAGUAGUGAACAAAAAUGGGACCAACCCAGACAUGAUGCUUGUUGCUUUGUUACAACAAAUUCAGCAUCACCCCCUUUAUAAGCUUUGUCGUUCUUUAUACAUGUUGAAACAAGGCAUUGUUAAGAUAAUGUCUCAGUCAAUAUGAAUGAAUCACACCGAUGGAGAAUUGCUACUCUCAUGCUUUGUUUCCCAUUAAGAUAAAGUAGAUCAGUAGAUGCUUUUCUUCUGGGAGUACAAGUCAUCAACCGUUAUUUCUUAGUAAUUGUUUCCCUUAUACCUACUGUUGCUUACAGGGAUAUCAAAAUUAAAGCUCGGUUUUAUUCCGACUUCGAUUUUAGUUGAACUGCACAAAAGGAGCCAAUGUGUAAGGCAAACUGCUGCAUUACUGGGUCUAGUUGGUCGUUCCACUUUGCAGAAAGAAGCAGUCACUGUUUGCGCUACUUUACAGAAGGAAUGACCGAGAAGCUUUACAGAGUAUUAUUAGACACCGGUGACAUGACUAGUCUGCAGAGACCAUUGGCAAUUUAACAACACAUGGAGUGCCCUGAGCAAAAAGUGCCCAAACAAGUACAAAAGCUACGACAGGACUCCACGAUCAUAGGCAUUACAUAAUUUGAAUGGGAAAAGCUUGUCAAAGUUUAAUCAUUGAUGUUAGCAAGAAGACGUUAGUUUAAUAUAUUGGAAUUGGAAAACCUUGUCAAAUUUUGCUGAUUGAUGUUAGCUAGAAGACAUGCAUUUGAUAUUUUUGAGUGGGACGCCCUUGCUGUGAGCAGCGUCGAGUGUUUUUUCCUAUUCCUGUGUUCAGUUUAGGAGUAAAUAGUUACUCUGCUGAGAUAUUCCUGUGUUAAGAGUUUGUUCUGAAUAUUGUCUAUGUAAUGCCAGGCCUUGUGUUUGAUUGCAAAGUUGAGCUUGGAAUGUUGUGGCAUGCGGCAUCACGAGUUGUUCAUCGUGCCUCCUGAGAAUAAUGGCUUCAUAUCGUUUCGCAUGUCGAUCUAAUGCCAGUGAUUUGCUAGUUAAGAAGAUAAUCCUCUUCUGUUGUUUCCGUGCUUAAGAAGUUCAUCGUCUGAUGUUUCAUUCAUAGCCUAUACGACAAGUCGGGUAGGUUAGACGUGAAACCAUAUGAUCUUCCGACCGACUCAUGAUAUUAGGCCGUGAUUGGAUCGUCGUUUUCCAACCAAAACUGCUUGUAAAACUGACGCUUGUAAAUUAAAGCCGAUGGUCUCGGGCGAAGGCGCUUGGUUGGUCGAUUUCGACUAGUAAAAUAUCGGAAGUACUUGACACAUGAUAAAAACACUGAACGACACUCAGACGAUUGCUAAUCUAGCCGUUAGCUGCUAUUUCAGCCUUGCCCAUGGAUGGCAUGAUACGCACGUCGUGCAUGUAUCGUCUGGUAAUGUCGUCCAUAUAGCAGUGCUCGUAAAAUAUACACUGGUCUCUCAACUUACACGCGUAACCCGCCGACCUCGGGCCCUCGGUUUCAUUACGCCUGUAUUUUACGCGUUGUUUUCGAUGACGAGUAAAUUACACUUGUAUGUUAAUACAGGUUUGAAAUAAACCAGAGCUCCCAAGCGCGGCCUUACCGUUUCAUGCCGUCUUAGUUUCUCGAAGGUGCUCAUAGGUGUCCGAUAAUCCUGGCUUCCUGAAUGAGUAGCGGGCGUUGUAUCAGACCAUCCGUAUGGCCCGCGAGGCCCUCUCCGUUGUCCUUCGAGUUGUUGCGCUCGCCGUGGCGUCGAGCAUUGUUAACAUCGUCAACGAACAUGAGGAUUCAGGAGAUGACUUUAUUUUGACUGGAUGACACUAGGGACCCACUAGGGCCAUAGCCGUACGUACGCAAGUGCCUCCUCAUUAUGUACAACUAUAUAUUUUUUGCUUUCUCCUGGUUUCCUGACAUCACGGUCCCACACCAUUGUCAACCUAUGUAGUUAAUAUAAACGAGAGAAUUGCACAAGGCACUACUGGAAUCAGCUCAUUUGCCAUCUGCCAGCUCUUUGCCGUCAGCUAGCGGACGGCAAAGAAGCUCUUUGCCAUCAGCUACCCAAAAGCAGACGGCAAAGAAAUGGCAGACAGCAAAGAAGCUCUUUGCCGUCCGCGAGCUCUUUGCAGUCUGCCAGCAGACGGCAAAGAAUCUUUGCCGUCCCCUGGCAGACGGCAAAGAGAGAGGUGGCCCCCACCCCCCGCCCGUUGGAAAAAAACUUAACGGCCCACCUCUUUGCCGUCUGCCAGCAGACGGCAAAGAGGCAAAAGGGCGGACGGCAAAGACAGGCGGACGACAAAGAGGACACCAGGUAACGGCCCGUACCCCCCGCCCGUUACUCUCUGUUCUCUCCUCGCCGACGCACCCCGCCACCACUUCCCACCCCACCGUCGCCGCCCCNNNNNNNNNNNNNNNNNNNNNNNNNNNNNNNNNNNNNNNNNNNNNNNNNNNNNNNNNNNNNNNNNNNNNNNNNNNNNNNNNNNNNNNNNNNNNNNNNNNNNNNNNNNNNNNNNNNNNNNNNNNNNNNNNNNNNNNNNNNNNNNNNNNNNNNNNNNNNNNNNNNNNNNNNNNNNNNNNNNNNNNNNNNNNNNNNNNNNNNNNNNNNNNNNNNNNNNNNNNNNNNNNNNNNNNNNNNNNNNNNNNNNNNNNNNNNNNNNNNNNNNNNNNNNNNNNNNNNNNNNNNNNNNNNNNNNNNNNNNNNNNNNNNNNNNNNNNNNNNNNNNNNNNNNNNNNNNNNNNNNNNNNNNNNNNNNNNNNNNNNNNNNNNNNNNNNNNNNNNNNNNNNNNNNNNNNNNNNNNNNNNNNNNNNNNNNNNNNNNNNNNNNNNNNNNNNNNNNNNNNNNNNNNNNNNNNNNNNNNNNNNNNNNNNNNNNNNNNNNNNNNNNNNNNNNNNNNNNNNNNNNNNNNNNNNNNNNNNNNNNNNNNNNNNNNNNNNNNNNNNNNNNNNNNNNNNNNNNNNNNNNNNNNNNNNNNNNNNNNNNNNNNNNNNNNNNNNNNNNNNNNNNNNNNNNNNNNNNNNNNNNNNNNNNNNNNNNNNNNNNNNNNNNNNNNNNNNNNNNNACCGGCCACCUCCUCCACCGGCCCUGCCCUAGGUGAGCUCUACCUCCUCUUUUUUUUCCUUUUUUUCUGUUUUUUUAGUUUUAGGUUUAUGUUUAGUUUAGAUUUAGUUUUAGUUUUAGUUUUAGUUUUAGGUUUAGUUUUAGUUUAAUUUUAGGUUUAGAUUAAGUUUUUUCCUUUUUUUCUGUUUUAUUAGUUUUAGGUGUAUGUUUAGUUUAGAUUUAGUUUUAGUUUUAGUUUUAGAUUUAGGUUUAGUUUUAGGUUUAGUUUAGUUUGAGGAAAGAAGAAGAAGAAGAAAAAAAGAGGAGAGGAGGAGAAGAAGAAGAGGAAAAAGGAAAGGAAGAAGAAGAGGAGGAGGAGGAGAAGAAAAAAGAAGAAGAGGAAGAAGAAGAAGAAGAAAAAAGAGGAGAGGAGGAGAAGAAGAAGAGGAAAAAGGAAAGGAGGAGGAAGAAGAAGAAGAAGAAGGAAAAAAAAGGAAGAAAAGGAAGAAGAGGAAGAAGAAGAAAAGGAAAAAACCCCGACCCGACACGGCACCCCGACCCCGACCCGGCACNNNNNNNNNNNNNNNNNNNNNNNNNNNNNNNNNNNNNNNNNNNNNNNNNNNNNNNNNNNNNNNNNNNNNNNNNNNNNNNNNNNNNNNNNNNNNNNNNNNNNNNNNNNNNNNNNNNNNNNNNNNNNNNNNNNNNNNNNNNNNNNNNNNNNNNNNNNNNNNNNNNNNNNNNNNNNNNNNNNNNNNNNNNNNNNNNNNNNNNNNNNNNNNNNNNNNNNNNNNNNNNNNNNNNNNNNNNNNNNNNNNNNNNNNNNNNNNNNNNNNNNNNNNNNNNNNNNNNNNNNNNNNNNNNNNNNNNNNNNNNNNNNNNNNNNNNNNNNNNNNNNNNNNNNNNNNNNNNNNNNNNNNNNNNNNNNNNNNNNNNNNNNNNNNNNNNNNNNNNNNNNNNNNNNNNNNNNNCCCCCCGACCCCGAAACAGCACCCCGACCCCGACACGGUACCCCAACACCGACAGGACACCCCGACCACCGACACCUCCCGAAAAGGUGUUCUUUGGCCUUCCAGAGGCCGACGGGGUCAUAUAUUUGUGAAUUAUUAGCUAGGUCAUAUAUUUUUUGAUUUUGUUUUGAAAAACAUCAUAUAUAAUUGUGUUGAUCGUGUAGUUUUAAAUGUGCAGUUGUUUCAUCGUUGCGAGGUUUGGUGUUCGACGACCUUGCCGUGCGUUUGACGAGCUCUGCCCCUUCGUUCGUGGGUGAGCACAAAUGACAAGUCCUCCUCCCCCAUUAAUUAUUUGAUCUAUUCCGAUGAAACUUGAUAGCUAGCUAUAUAUGUGUCUUGAAUCAUCAGUAUGCGUAACCAAUAUGUGUCUCCCGUUCGAAAGCGUCAUAGUUAUAAAUAUGCAUGCAUUUGCAUAUUUAUAACCUUGAUUCUUUCGAAUUGUCCAACGCUAUCCAUGGACAGCCCGAGUAUGUGUAGAUUGGGUUUGUUUUCCCAUAUGCUUUGCUCUGGAUCCGACGCAUAUAUUUCGUCAGUGCCUCCCCUGUUGUUCUCCGGGUACACAUCCUCUAUGUUUAUUGCAGAGACGUGUAUCAGGAGAACAGCGGGGAGGUGCUGCCGAAAUUUUGCGUCGGAUCCGGAGCAUAGCAUGGGAAAAUGAACCCAAUAUACACAUACACGGGUGGGAUUAGGACCUAUCAUUACCUAUUAGAGUGUAGGUUGCAUGGACGUAAUAAAAUUGACAAAGUAGAUCAACUAAUGAAUAUAUACAUGGUGAAUUACAUAUAUAAUUGUUGUGUGUCCAGUAGCUCUGAAAGUCAAGAUGAGUGACCGUGCUUGGAUGUAUACCGGUCACACUGGUCAGAACAAAUGGAGCGCUGAAUGGUUCACAAAAACUAAGGGGUUUGUGCAAGCCGCAUUUGCAAAUGGCCAAAAGAAAACCUGGUGCCCCUGUUUCCGGUGCGGCAAUUGGGAAAAGAAGACAGAGGCUGAAAUGGGCAAACACCUGCAGAAGAGUGGUUUUACGCCCGAUUAUACGGUGUGGACAUUUCAUGGUGAGUCUGCCCAACGUGACCAAGCUGAGGUGGAUCGUCGUUGCACCGACGAGCAUGGUACCGGGAUGGAAAACAUGGUGCAAGGCUAUGAUGAUGCUCGGGAUUCGGACGAGGAGAUGGAGGAAUCUGCAAAGGCCUUCAAUGAAAUGUUGGAUUCUUCGAAACGUCCGCUCCACGAGCACACUGAGCUUUGUCAGUUGAAUGCCAUCUCACAAGUAAUGGCUCUGAAGGCUCAGUUCAACUUGGGCAGAGAAUGCUAUGACGCAAUUAUGACAGUAUUUGGACGCUUUCUACCCAAAGGCCAUGUAAUUCCUGCAAACCUGUACCAGUCGGACAAAAUCCUCCGUGCACUGAAGAUGCCCUAUGAGAAGAUACAUGCUUGUGAGAAAGGAUGUGCCUUAUUUAGGCUUGACUAUGCGGACUUGAACUAUUGUCCCAUUUGCAAGUCUUCCAGGUAUAUUGUGGUAGACAACGGUAUGGGUGAGAAGACACAGAACAAAAUCCCCGUUAGUGUUCUUCGGUAUAUGCCAAUCGUACCAAGACUUCAACGUCUUUUCAUGGUCAAAGAGACGGCCAGACAGAUGACAUGGCACAAAACAGGCAAAAGAACCGAACUAGAUGCAGAUGGGAAUCUGAUGAUGGUACACACAUCGGAUGGUGUUGCGUGGAAAAAGUUUGAUGAAUUACAUGCUGACAAAGCGGCAGAUCCGAGGCAUCCUCGAGUCGGCAUCAGCACGGAUGGGUUCAGUUUGUUUGGUAUGACCGCAGCCCAAUACAGUUGUUGGCCCGUAUUUGUCUUUCCACUCAAUCUCCCCCCUGGACAGAUUAUGCAAAGAAAGAACAUUUUCCUGACGUUGAUAAUUCCAGGACCCAACUAUCCGGGCAAAAAUAUGAAUGUGUACAUGCAGCCGCUUAAGGACGAAUUGCAAGAAGCCUGGGAUAAUGGGUUCAAGACAUACGACGCCUUUAGCAAACGAAACUUCAUAAUGCGUGUCUGGUACAUGUACUCGACGCAUGACUUGCCGGUGUAUGCGCUAUUCAUUGGCUGGUGUGUGCAUGGAAGGUUCCUGUGCCCCACAUGCAAGGGAGCUCUUGAGUUUCGUUGGCUUUAGGCCGGUCGCAAGUUUUCUUGCUUCGACAUGCAUAGACAGUUCCUGGAUUCUCGCCAUAAGUUCAGGAAAGACAAGAAGAACUUCAUCAGGGGUAGAGUUGUCAAAAACUCUGCACCACCUGCAUUGACAGGCCAACAGACCCUGGAUUAGUCAAACGCUCUCGAGCCAUAUCCACAACACCCAGGGUACUUCAAGGGGUAUAAUACUAAGCACGCGUGGACUCACAAAACAUGCUUACAUGAUCUGCCUUACUUCAAAGACCUCCUUUGCCCACACAACAUCGACGUGAUGCACACUGAGAAGAAUAUCGCCGAGGCACUUUUUGGUACAUUGUUCGGCAUAGAUGGGAAGUCAAAGGAUAAUACUAAGGCUAGAGUCGAUCUGGAGGCGCUAUGUGGUAGGCCGUUACAAAACAUGAAAGAACCGAAAGGAAAGCAGAACUGGACGAAGCCAAAGGCAUGGUUCAAUCUUGGAAGGCCAGCUAUGAGGGAAAUUCUCUUGUGGGUGCAACAGCAGUUGAUGUUCCCCGAUGGGUAUGCAGCGAAUCUAAAGAGGGGAGCGAAUCUUGAUAAACUGAAGAUAUUUGGUCUCAAGAGUCAUGAUUGGCACAUAUGGAUUGAGCGGGUAAUGCCGGUGAUGUUGCGUGGCUUCAUCCCUGAGGAUGAAUGGCUAGUACUGGCAGAACUCAGUUAUUUCUUCCAUGUUCUUUGUGCGAAAGAACUAUCGCCUGGCGUGCUAGAAGAAAUGGAAGAGUUGGCGCCAGAGUUGAUCUGCAAGUUAGAGAAGAUAUUUCCACCGGGCUUCUUUAAUCCAAUGCAGCAUUUGAUUUUGCAUCUCCCGACCGAGGCAAGAUUGGGGGGGCCCGUGCAAAAUCGUUGGUGCUACCCAACUGAGAGGAUGCAGAAGACGCUUAGAGAAAAAUGUAAAAAUAAACGUAGAAUUGAAGCAUCGAUGGCUGAGGCAUUCAUCACAGAGGAGGCGGCAAACUUUGUAACAGCGCACUACGAAGCCAAAAAUCGUCAUUUGCAUAAUCCGAAGCCUCGAUACAAUGCUGACAAGCCUAAAAAGGGUGGAUCCAACCUCAGCCUAUUCAAAGGGAAUCUCACACCAGCUAGUGUUUCACAUCCAGUAUCUUUGGAUAACGAAGAAUGGCGGACCAUUUCGUUGUAUAUCUUCAACAACCUGAUAGAAGUGCGGCCGUACAUCGAGUAAGUUCUCGGUCCAUUGUUUCGCAACUUCUAUUUCCUUUGAACUACUCUUAUUCCUGGAUAUGUCAUACAGUCGAUACGUCGCCAUAUUCUCGUAUGGAGCGGAGAUCCAAAAGGAUUCCGUCGAAGAGUAUGAGCUUCUCGCAAAGCAAGGAGGUGGCUAUCCCGGUUUCAUCUCUUGGUUCAAACAAACGGUAAUUUCUAUUAGACAAUUUCAUUUCUUCGCUAAUUUGUGCGUAAUGCAACAAUCCUUUCAUAUUAAACUUGUAGGCUAAUUCAGAGUCUAUGGACGCCGAAUUGAGACAAGUCGCUAAUGGUUUUGACUAUAAGGUCCGUUAAUUUGACAAGUACGACAUCAACGGGUAUCGCUUUCGUACCUAUGGCAAAGAGCUAUCUAUGGCCGACCGAAAGUCUACAAAUUGUUGUGUAUCUGCUAUCGGCGAAGGAGGUAUCGAGUAUUAUGGGAGAGUUGAAGCAAUUUAUGAACUUCUGUUCUAUGGUGAAAACCCACCGAAUGUCGUAGUCUUCAAAUGUUAUUGGUUUCAGCCGAAGGAGACUAGAAGGACUCAUGAACAUAUAGGGCUAGUUGAAAUCAACCAAAGCACUCAUUUAGAUGUUCCUGAUGUCUAUAUUAUGGCUCAACAGGCGACCCAAGUAUUCUAUCUAUCGUGGGCCUGCCAAACUAAUCCAAAUCUGAAAGGUUGGGAUGUCAUUUAUGAAGUGCCGCCACGUGCUAGACUUUCUCCCCCAAAGGAAGAGGAUUAUGAACCUCACAUUAACCCAGACACAUAUGAAGGAGAAUUCUUCCAAGAGACACGUCUUUCCAAAAAGCGUUUCAAGAACCGUUAUACUUCACCCCAAAACAUUGAAGUAGACAGUGACAAUGAAUCCGACAUCACCCCAGAGGAGGAACAAGAAGAGCCGGAACAAGAAGAGGUUACUGCUGCGGAUGACCUGUCAAUGCUUGACCGAUUACGUCAAGGUGGCCUUGCACAUGUUGAUGCCAAUGAACCCUAUGAGCCCAUCAUUGAUUAUAGUGAUGAUGAUGAUUAUGCAUUUAUUGAUGAUACUGAUCGAGAUUAUUAGUAGUGUCAGGUAUUCAAUUUUUUUAUGUUGUACUUGAUGAUGAUACACUUAAGUGAUAUACAUAUUAUUAUUCAUGUCGGUACUUUUUUUAUGUUGUACUAAUUUCGUUUAUUCUUUGUCAUGGCAGGUGUUGAAAGAUGGUGGGCACUGGUCGGGAGCGCGCCGAGGCCCCUUCUUCAUCGGCGCGUGGUGCGAGGUCUUCCAUUCCACACGCACCUCUCCGCCGAGCGUUGCUGGACAGUAUGGCGACAUCGCCGGGCCCUUCUUCGUCGACCGCGGUGCCCAACAGGGGACGAGGUAAGAAGAAGAGAGGAGUUGGAGCACGUGGUCGCGGGAGAGGAGGUAGGGUGACUCGUACGGCUCCUUCCUCGCCACUGCCCCCAACUGUUUCACCCGAGCACGUGACUGCUAGGGUGGACUCGUCUGAGGAGGAGGCUGCAUGGACUCCGGUCCACGAGCCUCCGGUCCAUGAGUCUUCGGCCCACGAGCCUCGGGUCGACGGGCCUUCGGCCCACGAGACUUGGGCCCAGGAGACCCCGGAGGAGCACACGUCUGGAUGGGGUACCUGGUUGGGUCAGCCUGAGCAUGGCGGGGAGCCGAGUGGCCAUGCUGAUGAUGGCGGGGAGCCGACUGAUGAGGAGGGGGAGGAGGGGGGCAACGUCUACCAGCGUGGUGCUACACGGCUCCCAUCCGUGCCGGUGACCCGCGAGCAGAGGUGGUUGAUUUUCCCUGAUGGGGAGAGGUACGUAAGUGCAUUUAAUAUUUUUGUACCUUUUGGAUUCACGUUUCUUCAAAUAACUAAUGCGUUGGCCUUGUCAUGCUGCAGGGGUUGGGACCACCAUCAUAGUGUCCGCCGGCCCAACUCCGUCCUUGGAGUUCUUUGCCGGCAAAACUUGCCGGGGUUUGUCACGUUGCCUGGUGAGGGUCGGCUUCCAGAGCUUGGAUUGAGCUGGGAGCACUACGUGGCUGCCCCGGCCCCGCCGGAUGAGAUUAUCGACGGUGUCGUGUGCGACACAAGGGCAGACAUGGUGAUCAGAAAGUUCUGGGUAAUUUCUCCUUUACACAUUUUAAAAUCUUCAACUAGCUAGUUAUUAAUUGUACUAAUCAAUAUUGUCUCAUUUGAUUGCAGACAUUCUACAGGUGUGAGGAGGGAUACGAGGAGGACGCGGCACAUGUUAUCGAGAACGUCUGCAAGCGCCUACUCCAGAACUUACGGCACGAGGCUCGGGUGCAGGCUGUUCGAGACUACUACGCCUUGCGUGGUAUCAAGAAGACCAAGCCGGCGUGCCGCGAUAAGUUCUUGAGUAAGGAGCAGUACAUGAAGGUAAUUCUUAAGGCCUUCUCUACUUAAGUUCCUUCAUUUAGUAAUUCUUAGUCGUAGCGCUCAAGUUUCUAUUUGCUAACUUAGGCGCCUCCGAGAUGGUGUGCGGAUCGGAUGGAUUGUUGGGAGGUGUUGGUCGAUGAGUGGUGCUCAAAACAAUGGCUAGCCCUCCACAACGAGGCCAAGGACAAACAUGCCCAAAUGGAAGGUGUGCCACACCAUCAGGGCAGCUCCAACUUAUAUCAGUUCGGGCGCAACUGGGUAUGUGGUUUGCUUCAUGAUUCAUGCAAUUCAUUCAUCAUGCUAGCUUGAGCCCUUUAAUUACUAAUUUUCAUUGUUUCUCUCUUUCAGGCACGCUACAAUAAGGCGGAUAAGGUGCCAGAGGUGUACGACCUGUAUGCCAUGGCCCACACCGCCUCUUUCAAGAAAGUCAAGGCUUUCUCUCAGUCUGACCUCGAUGAUGCAAACAACUUCACCAACAUCUCCUCCAACAACAAGCUUGUGAGAUAUAGAGAUGAGGGGAAGGCAAGGAAAGGGGAGGACUUUAACCCGAGCCAGGGUCCCAUUGAUCCAGAGCUGGUGAUGAUAUCUGGUGGCGGGAGGUCCCAUGGCUCCAUAGCCAUUGGAGAUGGACUUAUCCGUUAUCCUAGCACUCUCCCGGAGAUCAAGGCGCGCCAGUCGAGCUCCGCUCCUAAGAUAAGGCCUCGUGAACGGCCAGUGCAACUCGCCAUCAAGGUUAGUGAUACGUACUCAGUUAUCUUUCUCCAUUACAUUGUGUGCGCUUCCAUCAAUGACUACAAAUGGUCAUGUGAGUGGUGUUGCAGGCUGCUAUACAGAGUGAGAGAGAUAGAACGGAGAAACUUCUGGCGGAGGCGGCGGAGAGGCAGCGGGAGUUGGAGGAGAGGACGACAAAGAUGAUGGAGGAGGAGAGGGCACGGAAUGACAUGCAGGCAAGGGCCAUGUACGAGCUCCUUGUGGUAAGUUUCUUCUGCAGAUUAGCCAAAACAUUCAUGUAGUGUUUAUCUCAUUACUAACUAGUAUGACUGAGUCGUCAAAACCAAAUGUGCAGUCUGUGUGCGAGAAGACAGGUCAGACCGCUCCGCCAAUGCCAGUGAUUGCUCCUGGGACCAUGGUGAGUUUUAUUUGAAUGGACAUUACUUGCUAGUCUUAACAUAUGAGUGUCAUCAUGCUAACAAGACAUUGGAAAUGAUCUUUGGUGCAGCGUAACUCCAGACAAGCAUCGCACGAUCCUUAUCCAGCUACCGACACGAGCCACCCCGCUACACCUCCUGGAUCUUGGUAAGUUUAUCUAGUGUUUUGCUUAACACAUGCAUAAAGACCUAGACUUAGCUUUAUUUCCUCCAAUGCUUACCAUAAUGACAUAGACUUAGCUUCUUCUCCUCCAAAAUGACUUAAUAAGCUUACUGACCUCCAAAACCAUCCAUUUUACCUAAGUUAGCUCUAAAACAAUCUGUACUUAGCUUACUUAUGUCAAAAAUUGCAUAAUUAGCUUAGUUAGCUCAUAGACGAUCCAUUUUACCUAAGUUGGCUCUAAAAUGACCCAUUUUACCUAGGUUAGCUUAUAAAUGAUCUAGUUCAUCCAAGUUAGCUCAAAAAUGACCCAUUUUACCUAGAUUAGCUCCUAAAUGAUCCAUUUUACCUAUGUUAGCUUUAAAAUGACCCAUUUCACCUAGGUUAACUCCAAAAUGACCCAUCUUACCUAGGUUAUCUUAUAAACGAUCCAUUUCAACUAAUUUAGCUCAUAAACGAUCCAUUUCACCAAGUUAGCUAAAAAACGAUCCAUUUCACCUAAAUUAGCUCUUAAAUGAUCCAUUUCACCUAAGUUAGCUCAAAAAGAUCCAUUUCAACUAAAUUAGCUCAUAAAUGAUCUAUUUCACCUAAGUUAGCUAAAAACGAUCCAUUUCAACUAAGUUAGCUCAUAAAUGAUCCAUUUCACCUAAGUUAGCUAAAAAACGAUCCAUUUCACCUUAGUUACCUAAAAAAUGAUCCAUUUGACCUUAGUUAGCUCAUAAACAACCCAUUUCAACUAAGUUAGCUCAUAAAUGAUCCAUUUCACCUUAGCUAGCUCAUAAACGACCCAUUUCAACUUAGUUAGCUCAUAUAUUAUCCAUUUCACGUAAGUUAGCUCAUAAAUGACAUACUCUUCUUGUUCUAGUCUUCUUCUUAUUCUACUCUUCUUGUUCUAACUUUCUUAUUUUUCAUUUUGCAGAUUUCAUUCACUUGACGAAAGCUUGCAUAGAUGGAGUGCUCCUUAUCCCUUUCUCUGUUUCUUUUGUAUCGUUGAACUAUGCAUGUAUCGUUGGAUGAAACUAUUGUAAUAUAUAUGGUUGGAUGCCUCUAUGUUGAACUUGUUAUGUAUGAUGGAACUAUGCAUGUAGUAUAUAUGGUUGGAUGAUGAAGUCAUGUGUUGGAUAUCUUAUAUGUUUGCUCUGUAAUGGCCUUUUGAAAUAUAUCUAUAUAUGUCAUAUAUAUUUGUGAUGAAAAUUGUUGGAUUUAAUAAAAAAACAGAUAAAAGAGCCAAUAUGCAGGCUCUUUGCCGUCUGCCACCGACGGCAACGGGCUCUUUGCCGUCUGCCGCGGACGGCAAAAAAGACACGUGGCAUCCAGCUGUGCUUCCUGGGAGCUGACCCAUUUGGUCAGUUUGCCUACAGUGGCAGACGGCAAAGACUUUGCCAUCAGUGGCAGACGACAAAGAACCCGCACUUUGCCAUCAGUGGCAGACGGCAAAGAACCUGCCAUGUAGUGACGUGUAGAUGACAUCAUACGACGGACGGCAAAAACACUAGAAAUUUUGCCGUCAGCGGCGGACGGCAAAGGCCUGCCGUUAGCCACUUAACGGAUUGACAGCGCAAUUAUUGCCGUCCACCGCAGACGGCAAAGGGCCUUUGCCGUCAGCCGCCAGGAAGCAGACGGCAAAGUAGCUGUUUACCGUAGCCUACUUUGUCGGAGCCUUUUGCCGUCCGCGGCUGACGGCAAAGGCCUUUGCCGUCCGCCGUUCAUGCCUUUGCCGUCCGCCGUGGCAGACGGAAAAAUAGCUGAUUCCUGUAGUGAGGUGCGGCCGACAACUGGGACCAAGUAGCUCGAGCAGUAUUUGUGUUUUUGAGGCAUGAGCACUGCAGAGUUUUUCUUGACGAUGAUUUCGUUGUUGUUCAGAGGAGAGCAGGGUAUUAACUGGGCGGGCUGUGGCCCGUCUAGCCCAGGCCAGAUAUCCAGCCCAGAUACUAAUUUUUUCAAGAUGAAAAUGGCUAGCCCAACUAUACGUCUUUUUGAGGAAUACCCAGGCAAGGUCAACUUGUUAUUCUACGCCCCGCUGGGCUGUAAAUCUUUCCUAGGAGGGAUCAUUAGGCUUAACAGGAAAAUGGGAUUUAAAAAAAUAAUAAAUGGGAUGUAAUUAUAAAAACUGGGCAAUAACUAUAAAAAUGCACCAAACACGAAAUUAGUUUAUAAAAUAUUAUUUAUGGAUUUUGAAAAUCUUAAAUUUUCAUUGUUGCGCGCGCAAUGUUUCGUUGGAUUUUUACGUAAUACAAAUUUAUAUUUAAUCUAACAAGAAAUUUCGGGAUAAAAAUAUUUCGGAGCCCAUCAAAAUGUGGGAAAUUUUAUUGAAUUCUGUCUUCAACGGUUGGUUGAAAUUAUUAAUCAUUGUCCUAUCUAGAAAAUGGGCUGUACUUUUAACAAACUGUAAAUGGGCUAUUGUAAAUUCCAUUAGAAUUCCAAAAUGGGUUGUACAUUCUUACAAAACGCAAAUGGGCUAUAAGUUCUCUGCCACACACUUGUGGGCCUACUAAGUGACGCGUCCCCUAAAAAAAUAAGUUGACGCGUAUGCAAGGCUUUGCCAACUUAUUAUAGUCAACGCACGGUUCUAGCAGCAAUGGCCGUUGGAUGUCUAUCCAAUGGAUGUCAUGCUUCUUCUUCAAUCUCGAAUAUUCUUAGCUUCGGCCGCCCAAAAAAUGAUUCCUCCCCCUGACAUCUGGGACACACCGUUUCGGAGGCUGACCUGUGGGCCUACUAAGUUGGAGCAUACCAAGGGCUUUGUCAACUUAGUCAAUAAUAAACAUUUUUAGCUUAAGUGACCGUACAAUGUCCAUCCAACGGCCGUAGUGCUUCUUCAACCUCUGAUCUUCUUGGUCUAGCCACCCAAAGCAGCACCGGUCAUGCCGCCUGCUCCUGCCUCCCGUGGCCAGCUGUGCUGCCGCGGAGGCCUCGCCGCCCCCAUACUACUCCCACCGCUGGCCAGGCCAUCCCUCCACUCACCCACACCCCCUGUUAUUCUGCGGGGACGGCAGCCUCACACCGCAGCCGAACCAGUGAACCCUCGUACUCCUCUUCGCACGGGCUUCCACGGCUACAUCUUCCCCGGCUCCGCAUCGUCCCCUUCCUAGGCCUCGCCGUCGUCCAGACCACCGCCCUGGUGCUCUCGGCGCGGCGUGGUCAACGUGGUCAACGACUGACUCCCAUCGGAAGAGUACUGUACAUGGAGAGGCUGACAGCUAGGUCCAGGCGGCCGCAAGGAAGUGCCUCCUUAUUACGCGCAAAAUAAUUAUUCCUCCACCUUACAACAGGGACCCACCAGACGGGCCACCUUAUUUCGUGAAAAAACGUUUCCCCCCUGACUGCUUGGACCUACCGGAUGGGCUAGCGUAUUUCGCAAAAAAAAACGUUCCCCCCGCUGUCAGCUCGGUCCCACCGAAAGUGCCUCCUUAUUACGCACAAAAAAAUGAAUACUCCCCCUGCUAGCUGGGACCCACCAUGGUGGGAGGCUGACUUGUGGGCCUACUAAGUUGACUGGGACGGGGGCCUUUGUCAACUUUAGUAAAUAUGAAUGAUUCUAGCUCCAGUGACGGUACGAUGUCCAUCGAACGGCCGUAGUGCUUCUUCAACCUCUGGUCUUCUUGCUCUAGCCGCCCAAAGCAGCGCCGCUCAUGCCGCAUGCUCCUGCCUCCCGUGGCCGGCUGUGCUGCCGCGGAGGCCUCACCGCCUCCUACUAUUCCCACCGCUGGCCAGGCCCUGCGUUGACGGCAGCCUCACACCGCAGCUGAACCAGUGAACCCUCGUACUCCUCUCCGCACGGGCUUCCACUACUGCGUCUUCCCGGCUCCUCGUCGUCCCCUUCCUAGGCCUCGCCGUCGUCCACCGCCCUGGUGCUCUCGGCGCGGCGUGGUCAACGUGGUCAAGGAAUGACUUCCAUCGGACGUGGACUAUACAUGGAGAGGCUGACAGCUGGGUCCACGGCCGCAACAAGGAAGUGCCUCCUUAUUACGUGCAAAAUAAUUAUUCCUCCACCUGACAGCGGGGACCCACCAGACGGGCCACCGUAUUUCGUGAAAAAAAUGUUCCCUCCUGACUGCUGGGACCCACCAGCUACACCUUCGCACACAAGGAAGUGCGUCCGGGCAAAAAAAACAAAAUGAUUCGCCCCCCUGACUGCUGGGACCCACCAGCUACAUCUUUGCACGCAAGGAAGUGCCUGACAGUCGGGACCCACCUAGUCGAAGCGUACGUAGCGUUGUCAUUCUGGUCACGAACGUGUACGUACAUAUAUACUGGUCGAUGUAGAGGCGCGCACGUGUCGUAGUAGAGGCGUGCACGUAGCAUGUACAUGUACGUACAGCGGUCAGGGUGCAAGAAAGAAAAUACGGCCACAUAUGUGUACAUACGGGCGGGGUCUCGAACGCCUACUCGCGCAUACGUACGGCGAGGGCUCGUGUACAUGGCUGGGUCGGAAUGGAGAAACAACGUCGUCGUUGUGUUCAUGGGGAGGCAACGGAAUGCAUCGUGUUCAUGGGGAGGCAACAGAAUGCGUCGUGUUCAUCGGGAGGGCUUGGACGGAACAGGCGAUGGAAACGAGGCCUGGCGUACCGCAGAACGGAGGAAACGGCCUUGUGUUCGACCGGCCACGUUCGAAACGGGAUCCUGUUCAUCGGGAGGGGUAUGGUGUACCGCAAAAUGGAGGAAACGGACCUCCUACGGUCGAAACGGGGGGUCCUGUUGAUCGGGAGGGGUGUGGCGUACCGCAAAAUGGAGGAAACGGACCUCCUACGGUCGAAACGGGGGUCCUGUUGAUCGGGAGGGGUGUGGCAUACCGCAAAACGGAGGAAACGGACUUGUGUUGGANNNNNNNNNNNNNNNNNNNNNNNNNNNNNNNNNNNNNNNNNNNNNNNNNNNNNNNNNNNNNNNNNNNNNNNNNNNNNNNNNNNNNNNNNNNNNNNNNNNNNNNNNNNNNNNNNNNNNNNNNNNNNNNNNNNNNNNNNNNNNNNNNNNNNNNNNNNNNNNNNNNNNNNNNNNNNNNNNNNNNNNNNNNNNNNNNNNNNNNNNNNNNNNNNNNNNNNNNNNNNNNNNNNNNNNNNNNNNNNNNNNNNNNNNNNNNNNNNNNNNNNNNNNNNNNNNNNNNNNNNNNNNNNNNNNNNNNNNNNNNNNNNNNNNNNNNNNNNNNNNNNNNNNNNNNNNNNNNNNNNNNNUCCUGUUCAACCACCCCUCCACCGUCUACUGUUCAUCCAGCCCUCCACACCACGGGGUCCUGUUCAUCCACCCCUCCACGGGCACCCCUCCACCCUCUACUGUUCAUCCAGCCCUCCACCACACCAUGGGGUCUUGUUCAUCCAGAGGUAACGCCGCCGCUCACUAUUCAUCCACCCCCCCGCAACGCUCACUGUUCAUCCCAUCGAUCGGCUUCAGUUAGCAGCAGUAGCGAAGGAAUCGCUCGAUCGGGUUCAGUUAACAGCCAUCGAUCGAUCGCUUGGGUUCAGUAACGCGUAGCCUGCAGUGCAAUCGCUCGGGUUCAGUUAGAGCCCAACGCCUCGCUCGGGUUCAGUUAGAGCCAAAGCCUCGCACACACGCAUGUACGUGUACGAGAGAAACGCGCAUCGCUUGGCCCCCGACCUCCCACCGUAACCGGGAACUCCCCGAAAUCCCCCCCUCGCUUCUACCACGGUUUUUUCCAUCAUGGACGGCCCAAAGAAUGUCAUGCAGCUGCGUCUCCGGCCCUCCUAGGACGAAAAGCCCAUUUUCUGUCAUGAUUUUUUGUCAUAGAAGUAGGAGCCCACCACAUCUAUGAUGAUACCGGGUUUUGUCACAGUUAUCGUCAUAGAAGUGUCAUAUGUAUGACAGAAAAAAAAUUCGUUCGGCCCAAAAUGUCAUGGAUGUGUCUUUUUUUUGUAGUGCACUAAGAUAAAGACCUAGAUCACUAUUCUCUUCUCAUUUCUGACUUCUCAUCUAUUCUACUCUUUUAGGAUGGCGGAUGCAAGGAACAAGUUCACGCAACCGGAUGAAGAUACACCCUUUGACCGCCACCUGAAGGAAGUCACUAAGUACCUGAACAUCGGAAUAACAAGCUUCACCGGGACCUACAACGCCACUUUACCCGAAGAGGAGCGCUGGAUGAUUCAAGUUCAAGUCCCAGGAAGGACGUUCGUGCUAGUCACCGAGCCCAUAGAGUUUUCCUUUGAUGCACCAACCUGGAGUCUAGAAAAGAGCAUGGCAGCCCACAUCGCCAUGGGACGUAUUGGAGAAGUUUACCGCAAUGAUCUCAAGGAUACUAUCUACCAGAUUUGUGGGCGCCGAGAUGAGCAAUGGGGGAUGAUCAGCACCAGGAAGGAUAGAUCAAUCAUAGCUUUUAUCCAGGAGUUAAACCAGCACAUUCGACGUCAGGAGAACCAGAUGUGCGCAGGCAUGAUAGAUCUGAAGAAGGCGAUGACAAGAAUCAUGGAGCUGGAGGAAGAACUCAAGGCUACACGUGAAGAUUAUGAGGAGGAAAUCGUCGUACUAGUGGAGAAGAAUGACGACCCGAUUAAGAAGAUCGGAAUAUUCAUGGGAGACCCCACACCAGUAGAAGGAGACGAAGAACCCAAGGAGUUUCGCCCGGAAGACUACAUCAUCAUCGACGACACCGACUCUGACCUGAGCGAUGAUGACUAUGAAGAUGAAGCUGGAGCAGAUAUCAUGGAAUCUGCAACCGAGGAAUAUUUCUAGUAGACCACCACAUCAGUAGUAGUAUUCCACCAUGUAAAUAGAGUAGUCCGAGCACUUUUGCGAUAGUUAGACCGAUUGUAUGACUUGAUUGAUUGAUUGAGUGAAAUGUUUGUGUUUGUCUCAUGUGCAUAUGGGUAGUGUUUUCUCAUUAGACCUCAUUCUAUUCUAAUCUCUCCCCUCUAAACCCAUCAGAUGCCUUCGAGACGUGACAAUGGAUUUGCAUUUCCACUGGAGCUCACUCAGUUGAUCCAGCAGCAGAACAGUUGCUAGUCCAGAAUCAGAAUCAGGGGAACAACAACAACAACAACAACAAAAACCCACCACCACCACAACCUGUUGAUCACUUAACCCGUUUCCUUAGACUGAAUCCGUCGGUGUUCUCCAGUAGCACCGAGCCUAUAGUAGCAGAUGAUUGGCUCCGCAAGAUUGGAAGGGAGUUAACCACUACAGGAUGUACUGACGCUGAGAAGGUGCGUUUUGCCGCACAUCAGUUGGAUGGACCAGUAGCAUCAUGGUGGGAGAAUUACACUGUCACCUACCCUAUAGCCACGGUGACAUGGGACCAAUUUCAGCAGGCUUUCCGUAUAGCCCAUGUUUCAGCAAGAGCUAUGGCCAUGAAGAAGCGUGAGUUUCGCAACUUGCGCCAAGGAGGACGGACAGUUGGCCAAUACGUGGAUGACUUUAGUAAGUUAGCACGUUAUGCCUCGGAUGACGUUGCUAUGGAUGCAGCUAAGUAGGAGAAGUUUCUGGAAGGACUGAAUAAUGAGUUGAGUAUGAAGUUGAUGGUAGCAACUUUCAACAACUACCAGGAGUUGGUAGAUCGUGCUCUUAUGAUUGAAGGGAAGAAGCAAUAGAUUGAGAACCGCAAGAGGAAGUAUGGACAAGGGAAAUACAAUUCAGGAGCUCAGCAGAAGCCAUGUUUUACCCCGAAAAUGGGAGGACAUUUUCAGCAUACCCAUGGAGGAGGGAGUUCACAUAAUCAUAAUGGCCCCAAGAAUGGUAAUGGGAAUGGGGGGAUCAACGGUGAGAAUCGUACCAACCCAUCAACACCAGCUAAGAGAGACCUAAGCCAAGUCACUUGUUAUAAGUGUCAGAAGACCAGACAUUAUGCCAAUGAAUGUCCUGAAGCCCAGAAUGGAAAUGGCAAUGGAAGCUCUGGGAAGAAGCCGAACCCUUUCAACAGGGGACAGGUGAACCACGUUAACAUGGAGGAGGUUGAAGCCCAGCCAGAUGCAGUAAUAGGUAAGUUUUUGGUUAAGUCAUUUACUGCAAUCGUUCUUUUCGAUACUGGUGCAUCGCAUUCAUACAUAUCAAUGGGAUUCAUGGAUAAGUAUAAACUGCCCACCAAGGUUCUUAAAACACCUAUGUUAGUAAGCUCACCAGGAGCGGAGUAUAUGGCCAGUAAAGGAUGUUUUCAAGUGCCAUUGAGUAUAGGUAGGCAUGUGUUUCCGUCGGAUUUAAUCAUUUUGGAAUCACAAGGUUUGGAUGUAAUUCUGGGUAUGGAUUGGCUAUCGAUGUAUGGAGGAAACAUCUAUUGCGCCAGUAAGUCGAUUUUGCUUACCACCCCAGAGGGAAGAAGGAUCAAGUAUGUAUCACGACAUGUGCCGAAUAGGACUCAAGUAAAUUCCUUAUCAGGAGUUGUACAAGAGGAGGUACCGGUGGUAAAGGAUUUUCUGGAUGUAUUUCCAGAAGAGUUGCCAGGCAUGCCACCGGUGAAGGAAAUAUGCCCUAGAGGCAAUAAUAAAGUUAUUACUUAUUUCCUUAUAUCAUGAUAAAUGUUUAUUAUUCAUGCUAGAAUUGUAUUAACCGGAAACAUAAUACAUGUGUGAAUACAUAGACAAACAGAGUGUCACUAUUAUGCCUCUACUUGACUAGCUCGUUAAUCGAAGAUGGUUAUGUUUCCUAACCAUGAACAAGGAGUUGUUAUUUGAUUAACGGGAUCACAUCAUUAAGUGAAUGAUCUGAUUGACAUGACCCAUUCCAUUAGCUUAUCACCCGAUCGUUUAGUAUGUUGCUAUUGCUUUCUUCAUGACUUAUACAUGUUCCUAUAACUAUGAAUUAUGCAACUCCCGUUUGCCGGAGGAACACUUUGUGUGCUACCAAACGUCACAACGUAACUGGGUGAUUAUAAAGGAGCUCUACAGGUGUCUCCAAAGGUACAUGUUGGGUUGGCGUAUUUCGAGAUUAGGAUUUGUCACUUCGAUUGUCGGAGAGGUAUCUCUGGGCCCUCUCGGUAAUGCAUAUCACUUAAGCCUUGCAAGCAUUGCAACUAAUGAGUUAGUUGCGGGAUGAUGUAUUAUAGAACGAGUAAAGAGACUUGCCGGUAAUGAGAUUGAACUAGGUAUUGGUAUACCGACGAUCGAAUCUCGGGCAAGUAACAUACCGAUGACAAAGGGAACAACGUAUGUUGUUAUGCGGUCUGACCGAUAAAGAUCUUCGUAGAAUAUGUAGGAGCCAAUAUGGGCAUCCAGGUCCUGCUAUUGGUUAUUGACCGGAGACAUGUCUCGGUCAUGUCUACAUUGUUCUCGAACCCGUAGGGUCCGCACGCUUAAGGUUACGAUGACAGUUAUAUUAUGAGUUUUUGCAUUUUGAUGUACCGAAGUUUGUUCGGAGUCCCGGAUGUGAUCACGGACAUGACGAGGAGUCUCGAAAUGGUCGAGACAUAAAGAUUGAUAUAUUCGAGGCCUAUGUUUGGAUAUCGGAAGUGUUCCGGGUGAAAUCGGGAUUUUACCGGAGUACCGGGAGGUUACCGGAACCCCCCGGGAGCUAUAUGGGCCAUAGUGGGCCUUAGUGGAAAAGAGAAGAGGCAGCCCAACAUGGGCCGCGCGCCCGUCCCCUCCCUUGGUCCGAAUAGGACAAGGAGAGGGGGCCGGCCUCUCUCUCUCUUUUCCCCCCUCCGCGAAUCCUAUUCCAACUAGGAUUGGGGGGGGGGGGGAAUCCUACUCCCAGAGGGAGUAGGACUCUCCUGGCGCGCCUGUCCUAGGCCGGCCGCACCCCCCCUUUAGUCCUUUAUAUACGGAGGCAGGGGCACCCCAGAAAAACACAAGUUGAUCCACGUGAUCUUAUUCUUAGCCGUGUGCGGCGCCCCCAGCCACCAUAGUCCUCGAUAAUAUUGUAGUGGUGCUUAGGCGAAGCCCUGCGACAGUAGUACAUCAAGAUCGUCACCACGGCGUCGUGCUGACGGAACUCUUCCCCGACACUGUGCUGGAUCGGAGUCCGGGGAUCGUCAUCGAGCUGAACGUGUGCUAAAACUCGGAGGUGUCGUAGUUUCGGUGCUUGAUCGGUCGGGCCGUGAAGACGUACGACUACAUCAACCAAACGCUUCCGUUGUCGAUCUACCAAGGGUACGUAGAUCACACUCUCCCCUCAUUGCUAUGCAUCACCAUGAUCUUGCGUGUGCGUAGGAAUUUUUUUGAAAUUACUACGUUCCCCAACAGUGGCAUCCGAGCCUAGGUUUUAUAUGUUGAUGUUAUAUGCACGAGUAGAACACAAGUGAGUUGUGGGCAAUAUAAGUCAUACUACUUACCAGCAUGUCAUACUUUGGUUUGGCGGUAUUGUUGGAUGAAGCGGCCCGGACCGACAUUACGCGUACGCUUACGCGAGACCGGUUCUCCCGACGUGCUUUGCACAGAGGUGGCUUGCGGGUGACAGUUUCUCCAACUUUAGUUGAAUCGAGUGUGGCUACGCCCGGUCCUUGCGAAGGUUAAAACAACACCAACUUGACAAACUAUCGUUGUGGUUUUGAUGCGUAGGUAAGAUUAGUUCUUGCUUAAGCCCGUAGCAGCCACGUAAAACUUGCAACAACAAAGUAGAGGACGUCUAACUUGUUUUUGCAGGGCAUGUUGUGAUGUGAUAUGGUCAAGACAUGAUGCUGAUUUUUAUUGUAUGAGAUGAUCAUGUUUUGUAACCGAGUUAUCGGCAACUGGCAGGAGCCAUAUGGUUGUCGUUUUAUUGUAUGCAAUGCAAUCGCGAUGUAAUGCUUUACUUUAUCACUAAGCGGUAGCGAUAGUCGUGGAAGCACAAGCUUGGCGAGACGACAAUGAUGCUACGAUGGAGAUCAAGGUGUCGCGCCGGUGACGAUGGUGAUCAUGAUGGUGCUUCGGAGAUGGAGAUCACAAGCACAAGAUGAUGAUGGCCAUAUCAUAUCACUUAUAUUGAUUGCAUGUGAUGUUUAUCUUUUAUGCAUCUUAUCUUACUUUGAUUGACGGUAGCAUUCUAAGAUGAUCUCUCACUAAUUAUCAAGAAGUGUUCUCCCUGAGUAUGCACCGUUGCGAAAGUUCUUCGUGCUGAGACACCACGUGAUGAUCGGGUGUGAUAGGCUCUACGUUCAAAUACAACGGGUGCAAAACAGUUGCACACGUGGAAUACUCAGGUUAUACUUGACGAGCCAAGCAUAUACAGAUAUGGCCUCGGAACACAGAGACCGAAAGGUCGAGCGUGAGUCAUAUAGUAGAUAUGAUCAACAUAGUGAUGUUCACCAAUGAAACUACUCCAUCUCACAUGAUGAUCGGACAUGGUUUAGUUGAUUUGGAUCACGUAAUCACUUAGAGGAUUAGAGGGAUGUCUAUCUAAGUGGGAGUUCUUUAAGUAAAUUAACUGAACUUAAAUUUAUCAUGAAACUUAGUACCUAAUAAGUAUCUUGCAUGUUUAUGCUUGUUUGUAGAUAGAUGGCUCAUGUUGUUGUUCCGUUAAAUUUUAAUGCGUUCCUUGAGAAAGCAAAGUUGAAAGAUGAUGGUAGCAAUUACACGGACUGGGUCCAUAACUUGAGGACUAUCCUCAUUCCUGCACAGAAGAAUUACUUCCUGGAAGCACCGCUGGGUGCCAGGCCUGCUGCAGGAGCAACGCCGGAUGUUAUGAACGUCUGGCAGAGCAAAGCUGAUGACUACUCAAUAGUUCAGUGUGCCAUGCUUUACGGCUUAGAAUCGGGACUUCAACGACGUUUUGAACGUCAUGGAGCAUAUGAGAUGUUCCAGGACUUGAAGUUAAUAUUUCAAGCAAAUGCUAGGAUUGAGAGAUAUGAAGUCUCCAAUAAGUUCUAUAGCUGCAAGAUGGAGGAGAACAGUUCUGUCAGUGAGCAUAUACUCAAAAUGUCUGGGUAUAAUAAUCACUUGAUUCAAUUGGGAGUUAAUCUUCUAGAUGAUUGCAUCAUUGACAGAAUUCUCCAAUCACUGCCACCAAGCUACAAGAGCUUCGUGAUGAACUAUAAUAUGCAAGGGAUGAAUAAAACUAUUCCCGAGCUCUUCGCAAUGCUGAAAGCUGCGGAGGUAGAAAUCAAGAAGGAGCAUCAAGUGGUGAUGGUAAACAAGACCACUAGUUUCAAGAGAAAGGGCAAAGGGAAGAAGAAGGGGAACUUCAAGAAGAACAACAAACAUGUUGCUGCUCAAGAGAAGAAACCCAAGUCUGGACCUAAGCCUGAAACUGAGUGCUUCUACUGCAAGCAGACUGGUCACUGGAAGCGGAACUGCCCCAAGUAUUUGGCGGAUAAGAAGGAUGGCAAGGUGAACAAAGGUAUAUGUGAUAUACAUGUUAUUGAUGUGUACCUUACUAAUGCUCGCAGUAGUACCUGGGUAUUUGAUACUGGUUCUGUUGCUAAUAUUUGCAACUCGAAACAGGGACUACGGAUUAAGCUAAGAUUGGCUAAGGACGAGGUGACAAUGCGCGUGGGAAACGGUUCCAAAGUCGAUGUGAUCGCAGUCGGCACGCUACCUCUACAUCUACCUUCGAGAUUAAUAUUAGACCUAAAUAAUUGUUAUUUGGUGCCAGUGUUAAGCAUGAACAUUAUAUCUGGAUCUUGUUUGAUGUGAGACGGUUAUUCAUUUAAAUCAGAGAAUAAUGGUUGUUCUAUUUAUAUGAGUAAUAUCUUUUAUGGUCAUGCACCCUUGAAGAGUGGUCUAUUCUUAUUGAAUCUCCAUAGUAGUAACACACAUAUUCAUAAUGCUGAAGCCAAAAGAUGCAGAGUUGAUAAUGAUAGUGCAACUUAUUUGUGGCACUGCCGUUUAGGUCAUAUCGGUGUAAAGCGCAUGAAGAAACUCCAUACUGAUGGACUUUUGGAACCACUUGAUUAUGAAUCACUUGGUACUUGUGAACCGUGCCUCAUAGGCAAGAUGACCAAAACACCAUUCUCUGGUACUAUGGAGAGAGCAACAGAUUUGUUGGAAAUCAUACAUACAGAUGUAUGUGGUCUGAUAAAUAUUGAGGCUCGUGGCGGAUAUCGUUAUUUUCUCACCUUCAUAGAUGACUUAAGCAGAUAUGGGUAUAUCUACUUAAUGAAACAUAAGUCUGAAAUGUUUGAAAAGUUCAAAGAAUUUCAGAGUGAAGUUGAAAAUCAUCGUAACAAGAAAAUAAAGUUUCUACGAUCUGAUCGUGGAGGAGAAUAUUUGAGUUACGAGUUUGGUGUACAUUUGAAAAAUUGUGGAAUAGUUUCGCAACUCACGCCACCCGGAACACCAUAGCGCAAUGGUGUGUCCGAACGUCGUAAUCGUACUUUACUAGAUAUGGUGCGAUCUAUGAUGUCUCUUACUGAUUUACCGCUAUCGUUUUGGGGAUACGCUCUAGAGACGGCCGCAUUCACGUUAAAUAGGGCACCAUCAAAAUCCGUUGAGACGACGCCUUAUGAACUGUGGUUUGGCAAGAAACCAAAGUUGUCGUUUCUGAAAGUUUGGGGCUGCGAUGCUUAUGUGAAAAAGCUUCAACCUGAUAAGCUCGAACCCAAAUCGGAGAAAUGUGUCUUCAUAGGAUAUCCAAAGGAGACUAUUGGAUACACCUUCUAUCACAGAUCUGAAGGCAAGACUUUUGUUGCUAAGUUCAGAAACUUUCUAGAGAAGGAGUUUCUCUCGAAAGAAGUGAGUGGGAGGAAAGUAGAACUUGACGAGGUAACUGUACCUACUCCCUUAUUGGAAAGUAGUGCAUCACAGAAAACUGUUUCUGUGACACCUACACCAGUGAGUGAGGAAGCUAAUGAUGAUGAUCAUGAAACUUCAGAACAAGAUACUACUGAACCUCGUAGAUCAACCAGAGUAAGAUCCGCGCCAGAGUGGUACGGUAAUCCUGUUCUGCAAGUCAUGCUACUAGAUCAUGAUGAACCUACGAACUAUGAAGAAGCAAUGGUGAGCCCAGAUUCCGCAAAGUGGCUUGAAGCCAUGAAAUCUGAGAUGGGAUCCAUGUAUGAGAACAAAGUAUGGACUUUGGUUGACUUGCCCGAUGAUUGGCAAGCAAUUGAGAAUAAAUGGAUCUUCAAGAAGAAGACUGACGCUGACGGUAAUAUUACUGUCUACAAAGCUCGACUUGUCGCAAAAGGAUUUCGGCAAGUUCAAGGGAUUGACUACGAUGAGACCUUCUCACCCGUAGCGAUGCUUAAGUCUGUCCGAAUCAUGUUAGCAAUUGCCGCAUUUUAUGAUUAUGAAAUUUGGCAGAUGGAUGUCAAAACUGCAUUCCUGAAUGGAUUUCUGGAAGAAGAGUUGUAUAUGAUACAACCAGAAGGUUUUGUCGAUCCAAAGGGAGCUAACAAAGUGUGCAAGCUCCAGCGAUCCAUUUAUGGACUGGUGCAAGCCUCUCGGAGUUGGAAUAAACAUUUUGAUAGUGUGAUCAAAGAAUUUGGUUUUAUGCAGACUUUUGGAGAAGCCUGUAUUUACAAGAAAGUGAGUGGGAGCUCUAUAGCAUUUAUGAUAUUAUAUGUAGAUGACAUAUUACUAAUUGGAAAUGAUAUAGAAUUUCUGGAUAGCAUAAAGGGAUACUUGAAUAAGAGUUUUUCAAUGAAAGACCUCGGUGAAGCUGCUUACAUAUUAGGCAUUAAGAUCUAUAGAGAUAGAUCAAGACGCUUAAUUGGACUUUCACAAAGCACAUACCUAGACAAAGUUUUGAAGAAGUUCAAAAUGGAUCAAGCAAAGAAAGGGUUCUUGCCUGUGUUACAAGGUGUGAAGUUGAGUAAGACUCAAUGCCCGACCACUACAGAAGAUAGAGAGAAUAUGAAAGAUGUUCCCUAUGCUUCAGCCAUAGGCUCUAUCAUGUAUGCAAUGCUGUGUACCAGACCUGAUGUGUGCCUUGCUAUAAGUCUAGCAGGGAGGUACCAAAGUAAUCCAGGAGUGGAUCACUGGACAAUGGUCAAGAACAUCCUGAAGUACCUGAAAAGGACUAAGGAUAUGUUUCUCGUAUAUGGAGGUGACAAAGAGCUCAUCGUAAACGGUUACGUUGAUGCAAGCUUUGACACUGAUCCAGACGAUUCUAAAUCGCAAACCGGAUACGUGUUUACAUUAAACGGUGGAGCUGUCAGUUGGUGCAGUUCUAAACAAAGCGUCAUGGCGGGAUCUACAUGUGAAGCGGAGUACAUAGCUGCUUCGGAAGCAGCAAAUGAAGGAGUCUGGAUGAAGGAGUUCAUAUCCGAUCUAGGUGUCAUACCUAGUGCAUCGGGUCCAAUGAAAAUAUUUUGUGACAAUACUGGUGCAAUUGCCUUGGCAAAGGAAUCCAGAUUUCACAAGAGAACCAAGCACAUCAAGAGACGCUUCAAUUCCAUCCGGGAUCUAGUCCAGGUGGGAGACAUAGAGAUUUGCAAGAUACAUACGGAUCUGAAUGUUGCAGACCCAUUGACUAAGCCUCUUCCACGAGCAAAACAUGAUCAGCACCAAGGCUCCAUGGGUGUUAGAAUCAUUACUGUGUAAUCUAGAUUAUUGACUCUAGUGCAAGUGGGAGACUGAAGUAAAUAUGCCCUAGAGGCAAUAAUAAAGUUAUUAUUUAUUUCCUUAUAUCAUGAUAAAUGUUUAUUAUUCAUGCUAGAAUUGUAUUAACCGGAAACAUAAUACAUGUGUGAAUACAUAGACAAACAGAGUGUCACUAGUAUGCCUCUACUUGACUAGCUCGUUAAUCGAAGAUGGUUAUGUUUCCUAACCAUGAACAAGGAGUUGUUAUUUGAUUAACGGGAUCACAUCAUUAAGUGAAUGAUCUGAUUGACAUGACCCAUUCCAUUAGCUUAGCACCCGAUCGUUUAGUAUGUUGCUAUUGCUUUCUUCAUGACUUAUACAUGUUCCUAUAACUAUGAGAUUAUGCAACUCCCGUUUGCCGGAGGAACACUUUGUGUGCUACCAAACGUCACAACGUAACUGGGUGAUUAUAAAGGAGCUCUACAGGUGUCUCCAAAGGUACAUGUUGGGUUGGCGUAUUUCGAGAUUAGGAUUUGUCACUCCGAUUGUCGGAGAGGUAUCUCUGGGCCCUCUCGGUAAUGCAUAUCACUUAAGCCUUGCAAGCAUUGCAACUAAUGAGUUAGUUGCGGGAUGAUGUAUUACAGAACGAGUAAAGAGACUUGCCGGUAACGAGAUUGAACUAGGUAUUGGUAUACUGACGAUCGAAUCUCGGGCAAGUAACAUACCGAUGACAAAGGGAACAACGUAUGUUGUUAUGCGGUCUGACCGAUAAAGAUCUUCGUAGAAUAUGUAGGAGCCAAUAUGGGCAUCCAGGUCCCGCUAUUGGUUAUUGACCGGAGACAUGUCUCGGUCAUGUCUACAUUGUUCUCGAACCCGUAGGGUCCGCACGCUUAAGGUUACGAUGACAGUUAUAUUAUGAGUUUUUGCUUUGAUGUACCGAAGUUUGUUCGGAGUCCCGGAUGUGAUCACAGACAUGACGAGGAGUCUCAAAAUGGUCGAGAAGUGUUCCGGGUGAAAUCGGGAUUUUACCGGAGUACCGGGAGGUUAUCGAAACCCCCCGGGAGCUAUAUGGGCCAUAGUGGGCCUUAGUGGAAAAGACAAGAGGCAGCCCAACAUGGACCGCGCGCACCUCCCCUCCCUUGGUCCGAAUAGGACAAGGAGAGGGGGCCGGCCUCUCUCUCUCUUUUCCCCCCUCCGCGAAUCCUAUUCCAACUAGGAUUGGGGGGGGAUCCUACUCCCAGAGGGAGUAGGACUCUCCUGGCGCGCCUCUCCUAGGCUGGCCGCACCCUCCCCCUUUAGUCCUUUAUAUACGGAGGCAGGGGCACCCCAGAAAAACACAAGUUGAUCCACGUGAUCUUAUUCUUAGCCGUGUGCGGCGCCCCCAGCCACCAUAGUCCUCGAUAAUAUUGUAGUGGUGCUUAGGCGAAGCCCUGCGACAGUAGUACAUCAAGAUCGUCACCACGCCGUCGUGCUGACGGAACUCUUCCCCGACACUUUGCUGGAUCGGAGUCCGGGGAUCGUCAUCGAGUUGAACGUGUGCUAAAACUCGGAGGUGCCGUAGUUUCGGUGCUUGAUCGGUCGGGCCAUGAAGACGUACGACUACAUCAACCAAACGCUUCCGUUGUUGAUCUACCAAGGGUACGUAGAUCACACUCUCCCGUCGUUGCUAUGCAUCACCAUGAUCUUGCGUGUGCGUAGGAAAUAUUUUGAAAUUACUACGUUCCCCAACAACCUGAUAGAGACAUUGAGUUUUUGAUUGAGCUUUUGCCAGGCACAGGACCAAUAUCUAAGAGACUGUAUAGAAUGCCUUCAAAGGAUUUGGAGGAGAUUAAGAAGCAGAUUAAGGAGUUACUGGAUAAGGGAUAUAUUCGCCCAAGUUCGUCACCUUGCGGAUCACUAGUACUUCUAGUGGAAAAGAAGCAUGGAUCGUUAAGGAUGGUUGUUGAUUAUUGAGGAUUGAAUGAGGUGACAAUCAAGAAUAAGUACCAACUGCCGAGGAUCAAUGAUUUUUUUGACCAAUUGCAAGGAGCUAAGGUAUUUUCCAAGAUUGGUUUGCGAUCAGGAUACCACCAGUUGAAGAUUCGAGAGCAGGACAUACCUAAGACAGCUUUUACCACAAGGUACGGGCUGCAUGAGUAUACCGUUAUGUCAUUUGGUCUGACUAACACACCUGCUUACUUUAUGAACAUGAUGAACAAAGUGUUUAUGGAGUUUUUGGAUAAGUUCAUCGUAGUGUUCAUUGAUGAUAUUCUGGUUUACUCGAAGAAUGAAGAAGAACAUAAAGAACAUUUGCAUUUGGUACUUGGUAAGCUCAGAGAACAUCAGUUAUACGCCAAGUUCAGCAAAUGUGAGUUUUGGUUGAAGGAAGUGGGAUUCCUCGGACAUGUUAUAUCCGGAGAAGGAAUAGCUGUAGAUCCCACCAAGGUUGUCACUGUGACAAAUUGGGAAGCCCCAACAACAGUUGGAGAGAUCCGGAGUUGGACUCGCAGGAUACUACCGGAGGUUCAUUGAAAAUUUCUCAAAAAUUGCAAAACCUAUGACGGAGUUUUUGAAGAAGGAUACAAAGUUCAAAUGGACUGAAGAAUGUGAGGCCAGUUUCCAGGAGUUGAAGAAACGUUUGGUUACAUUGCCAGUGUUGAUUCUGCUAGAUCAGCACAAGGAUUAUGAAGUAUAUUGCGACGCUUCACAUCGAGGACUUGGAGCAGUGCUUAUGCAGGAGGGAAGAGUUGUUUCAUAUGCCUCAUGACAGCUUAAGCCCCAUGAAUUGAAUUAUGCUACACACGACUUGGAGUUAGCAGCCAUAGUGCACACAUUAAAAACAUGGAGACAUUUUCUCAUCGGAAACUAUUGUGAGGUGUACACGGAUCACAAAGGUUUGAAAUACAUCUUCAUGCAAAAGGAGUUGAAUAUCAGGAAAAGGAGAUGGUUGGAGCUCAUCAAGGAUUAUGAUAUGAGAUUACAUUAUCAUCCCGGAAAGGCUAACGUAGUAGCUGACGCAUUGAGCCGCAAGAGCCAUGUCAACACACUAAUGACCGGAGAGUUACCAAAGGAGUUAGCCGAGGAUCUUCGUGAGCUAUGUUUGGAGAUAGUUCCGAGAGGCUAUGUAGCAGCAUUGGAGAUUCAGUCUACUCUGAUGGAUAAGAUCGGAGAAGCUCAGAAGACCGACAAGGAGAUUGCCACCAUAAAGGAGAAGAUGAGCAAGGGAAAAGUUAAAGGAUUUCGUGAGGAUGAACACGAUACCUUAUGGUUUGAGGACCGCGUUUAUGUGCCUAAUGACCCAGAGAUCAGGAAGCUAAUUUUGCAAGAGGCCCAUGAUUCGCUGUGCUCGAUUCACCCAGGAAAUACCAAGAUGUAUUUGGAUUUGAAAGACACUUUCUGGUGGACCGGAAUGAAGAAGGAUAUUGCAGAGUAUGUAGCAGUUUGUGAUGUAUGUCAGAGAGUGAAGGUAGAGCAUCAGAAGCCAGCAGGAUUGCUACAGCCAUUGCCGAUACCCGAAUUGAAGUGGGAUAAGCUAGGCAUUUUACCACGGGAUUACCCAGGACCCGUUCAGGCUAUGACUCGAUAUGGGUUGUAGUCGAUCGCUUGACGAAGGUAGCUCAUUUCAUUCCAGUGAAGACCACUUACACCAGUGCUAAGUUGGCAAAGAUAUACAUGACCAAGAUCGUAUGUCUGCAUGGAAUUCCGAGGAGCAUUUUAUCAGAUAGAGGAACCCAGUUUACCUCAAAGUUCUGGAAUCAGUUGCAUGAAACUUUUGGUACCAGACUAGAGUUCAGUACAACUUUUCAUCCGCAGACCGAUGGACAGACCGAGAGAGUCAAUCAGAUUUUGGAGGAUAUGCUGAGACCUUGUGCGCUAGAUUAUGGAUCUAGUUGAGAUGACAACUUUCCAUAUGCGGAGUUCUCUUACAACAACAGUUAUCAAUCUAGUUGAAGAUGGCCCCUUUUGAAGCCUUGUACAGAAGAAGGUGCAGAACAGCAUUGUCGUGGGACGAAGUUGGAGACCCCUAGUUACUUGGACCAGAUUUGAUUAAGGAGUCUGAACAGAAGGUGAAAUUGAUUCACGAUAGACUCAAGGUAGCCCAAUCCAGGCAGAAGAGCUAUGCAGAUUCUAAACGCAAGGAGAUAGUUUACGAAGCCGAAGAUAGAGUUUAUCUUCGUGUAUCUCCGCUUCGAGGAGUUAAGCGCUUUGGAGUUAAGGGAAAGUUAGCGCCACGUUUUGUGGGACCAUACGAAGUUUUGGAAUGCACAGGAGAAGUUGCUUAUAAAUUAGAAUUGCCUGAGGGAUUGUUGGGAGUUCAUGACGUGUUCCACGUUUCCCAAUUGAAGAAGUGCCAUGCAGAAAUGGCGGAUAUACCGCUGAGAGAUACAGUGCCGCUGGAAACGAUUCAGUUGGAUAGUGAUUUGACCUAUGAGGAGAAACCAGUUAAGAUUCUCGAGUAUGCCAGCCGAGUCACCCGCAGCAAGGUUAUCAAGUUUUGCAAAGUUCAGUGGAGCCACCACACCGAGGAUGAAGCCACCUGGGAACGAGAAGAAGAUCUGCUGAAGGACCACCCUCACCUAUUUUCUAGCCAACCCGAAUCUCGAGGGCGAGAUUCACCUUAAGGGGGGUAGGUUUGUAACAUCCCAAAAUUUCAAUUUGGAAUGUUAUACAUUAGAUCAUCACUGCAUAUCAUAUUUUAUUUUCUUUUGGCCUGAUCCAGAAAUUCUACGCAACUCAAGGACCCACGGAGAGAGUUGGGGGUUUCGUUAUUUUCAUAUUUGAGUUUUCUCAAAUUUUGAAGAUAUGAUUAUUUGAUUUUAUUUAUUUUAUCUUCAAUUAUUUCCAUUAUAGAAAUAUGAUAGAGGGGAUAAAAUGACUUUCCCAAAAUAAAGAAAUAUUGAGGAUUUAAUAAAAAAAUCAAAUAAGAUUUUAUUUUGGAGUUUUGACUAGUUCUAUUUGAAUUUAGGAAAAAUUGCAUGUUUUUCAAAACUAUUUCAGGGCCAAGAAAAUGUUCAUCUCGUUCUAAAUAUUUUAUUUAGGCGGUGAAAAUUUAUUUUGGCAUUUUUUGAAUUUUAUUUUAUUUUCUAGAAUUUUUCUUAGUUUUGGCGGAAUUGUUUAAAAGAAACUAUUCACGCGCCCGACUGGGCCGAAGGCCCAGCCGAGCCGGGCCAAGCCCGCGCCGCCGCCGUCUGCCGCACCGGCUCAGGACCGAAGUCCCGAGCGAAGCCGCCGCCGCCUCCCGAGACGGCCCCUUCCCCAAGCGGCGCCGCCCCCCUCUCAUAAAUACCCGCCAACACACCGCCCUGCCACCUCGCCCCGCCCCGCCUCCCGCAGCCACUGCUUGCCACCGCAACCGCCGCUCGCCGCGCCCGCCGCCACGCCCCGCCGGAGCCCCGAGCCGUCGAAGUCCGACGAGGUAGCCGCGCCAUUCGCCGCCGGUUUUCUGGAGAAAACCGAUCCCGUUUUUCCGUGAAAACCCUAGGUUUUUUAUUAGAUCAGUUUUAUCAGUUCUUUUAUUUAGCGAGCGUUCGCUCGUUUGUUCAUUUUUACGGACGAGUUCACUGUUUAGUUUCAGAUAACGAACGUUCGUUCGUUAAUCUGUUCGUAAGUUUUUCUUUUUCUCAGAUUUUCCGCGAUUAUUUCUGAUCGCGAUUUCUGAUCCAAUUUUCGUUUUAGUUUAACUUUUCGCUCGUUUAUCGGAAUCAGGAGAUUCAAGCGCCUAGAGUUUCAUCUCAAAACCCUCUUUCCAUUUAACCAACUCGAACAAGUUUUUGCUUCUGUAAAAUUUGACUUUGGUCUAGAUUGGUAAUCGAAGCUUGUUUUCUUUCACCGUUUGACUUUCGUUGUUUCGUUCGAUUUGUUUCUUUUGCAAACCGGAGUUCUUAAGUUGAACCUUCUGGUUAGAUCUCUUAUUUGAGUUUUACCUGUGCAUUAGAUGAGUACUUAGAGUAUGCUUGUUUGUUUGUUUGCGAUAGAGUACCCAGAGUGCGCCGCUUGCUACUUCGAAUCUCUAGGUUUCGCGGAUCAUCAGCAAGGCAAGUAACACUUUGAGCAUACCUUUUACUACCCAGUUUUAUUGCGUUAGAUCAACCCUCAAGCCAUUGCAUGAAUAGGAUCUGAUUAAUAUGUGGGUUUUGGGAAGUAGAUGAGGUAGUACCUAUUACCUGUUUUAUUAUCAAACCCUGGGAGUUACUUCUACGUUUGUUUAUGCCAUGCUAUGCUUGUAGACGUGGAUUGGGUUUGAGUGUAUCCAUGACAGAUGUGAGAAUGUUAAUUAUUGGUUCAACUUAAGGUGGAAAAUUUAAUACACAUCUGGGUGGAUUGAGGCACUUGGGUAUUCCAGCGAUUGCCUGUUGUUUUUCUUUAUGGACCGCCACCCAGGCUCCAAGGGAUCAUGAGAUUAUUCAUACUAGAAACUUCCUUGUGCAGCCACAAGCUACUAUGGGCUCUAGCAUAGUUGAUUAAGUCGUGUGAACUCUUACAGUGGUAGACUAGCAGAUGUAGGGGAAAGUAGGUGUAACGGUUUACCCGAUCGUAAGGUGCUAGCGCUUCUGAAAGACUAUGUCUCGGUCAUCCGUUUCUCAAACACCAUGUAGUGCGAGAAUCCCAACGAAGGAGAUCGAGUCUUAUGGGAAAGUGCACAAACCUCUACAGAGUGUAUAAACUAAUAAUGGUUAGUCGUGUCCCCGGUUAUGGACGUCUUGAGUAUCUAGUACUUCGAUUAUCAUGUGAAUCUCAUCAUGUGACUUUAAUUAAUUUUGUUGGGUUUUAAUGAUGAUGUUUAAUUGGGAUUGAGAGGGUGUCUAUGCUCCCAAUGUUUAACAACCACCCUGAUAGUUAAAUAAAAUUUAUUCCUUUGCAGUAGGGAAAAACUGGCUUUAUGCAAAACUGUAACCAUAGAGCUUUCCACCAGCCAUAUAUGCAUGUAGUAUAGCCUAUUUCUGUUCACUACUCUCUAUGUGUUACAUUGCCAGCAUAUUCCAUGUGCUGACCCGUUUUCGGGCUGCAACGUUCAUGUUGCAGACUUUACAGAUGACGAGUAAGGAGCCUUAGGUCGUGGUUCUAUACUCAGUGAUGCCGUUGGAGUUGAUGGACUCACUUAUCUUCCAAGCCUUCCGC
rnacentral:lncRNA from 1 species